GAAUAUUCUUCAUUCAUGGGCGAUUUCUCAACUGCCACCGGCAUAGCUACCUUUACAAUGAUGUUGUUAGGGAGAGUAAUCCUCAGAAAGUUCGGGUGGGGAGUUGCAGCUACGAUCACACCUGCAGUGUUACUUCUCACAGGAGUUGGGUUCUUCUCACUGAUUUUGUUUGGUGAGCCAUUGACUCCUCUUAUGACCAAGUUUGGGAUGACACCUUUGCUUGCGGCAGUCUAUGUUGGAGCAAUGCAGAACAUUUUCAGUAAGAGUGCAAAGUACAGUCUGUUUGAUCCUUGCAAAGAGAUGGCAUACAUUCCUUUGGAUGAGGAUAUGAAGGUGAGUCUCCAAAAAAUACCGAUCCUUGUAUAGAUUCAUAUCAAAUGCAUAUCUUGCCUUAAAUGACACUUGUAUUGGUAUGAUUGAUCCAAUGAGCAUAAUAAUAAUUUAAGUUGUAAUAUUACUUAACCUUAUGAGAGGAGUAGGUGUGAUCAGCAUACAUCAUAACUUGUAGAACACGAGAUUCCUAUUUAUAAUGAAGCCACAUUAAUUUCUUUGAUGUGAAAUAUGUUGUGCUGAUUUGUCCUUGACUCUAGUUGUACCUGUAUCUCUAAAACACUGUGAUAAGUGACUUAGGUGAAGUGAAAGGUUCAUAAUCAUCUACUAAAAGUCAUGUAAACAUACAUAAUAAGAUUUUACGCUUUUAUUGAUGAUGGCAAUUAUAUCCCCCCACCAAAAAAAAUCUAUUGUUGAGUUUUAUGAAACCUUCAUAUUCAUUUGUUGCUUUUGUUCUCAACUCUUUGUGGUCAUGAUAACAGGUUAAAGGUAAAGCAGCUAUUGACGUUGUCUGCAACCCCUUGGGGAAAUCUGGAGGUGCUUUGAUCCAGCAGUUCAUGAUCCUGUCAUUUGGAUCUCUUGCGAAUUCGACACCCUACCUUGGUGGAAUACUUCUGGUGAUUGUUCUUGCAUGGCUGGGUGCUGUAAGGUCCCUCGACUCACAGUUUUCAACCCUGGCAAAGCAAGAUCUCGAGAAAGAAAAGAUGCUGAAAGCACAGGCCGUCGAAGUCGAAACAACUGCCAAAGUAGUCGGGACUGGAAAUGGUUCUCUCCAAGAAACUCUAGCUAGUGAGCCAUCUGCAAAUGGUGCAGCUACCAAACAGUCUCGAGAACCUGAGAGUACAACCACGGAGAAAUCAGGCCAAGAACCUGAGAGUACAACCACGGAGAAAUCAGGCCAACAGUCUCAAUAAGUUUUCCCCAAGAAAUUUAGUUAGUACAAGCCUUUGGAGGAACCAAAAGUUUCUUGGGCCUUUUAUCUGGAGCUGCUGAAGAAGGCAGGAAUGAUUUGAGAAAUAAGAAGGCCUGUUCUUCUGUUGUUGUAGCAUAUUUUUUACUUCACCGUGAGUAUCUGUAGCUGUUUGUUUCAUUCCAUAGGUAUAAACUGUUUCUGUUAUUAAAAAUUUUGGGAAGUCUGCUUCAUGAUAAUCUUCAAUAGCUAGUCCUUUGUUGUGAAAAAUUAUUUUGCCUGGUUUUGAUAUUUAUGGGUACCAUGUAUUUUCAAUUUAUUCAUAUUCCUACUAAACAGUGAUGUAGUCAGGUUCCUUUCAUUACACUUAAGGUUCAUGGGCUUUCCCAGGACAAAUACCCUUUACCGCAGGCCCACAGCCUUAGGUGAGCAUAAAAGGCGGACGUUGUCUUGGUUCAGGACUCGUUUAGAUGUGUUUUUUUUUUGGAUUUCGCUACUGUAGCACUUUUGUUUUUUCGUUACAAAUAUUUUCUAAUUAUAGACUAACUAGGGUUAAAAAAAUUGUUUUGCGAUUUACAGACAAACUGUGUAAUUAGUUUUUAUUUUCGUCUAUAUUUAGUGCUUUAUGCAUGUACCGCAAGAUUUGAUUUUUUUGUUUUUUUUUUGAUAAUGGAUAUAAAAUUCGGUCUCUACAUCUGAGGAUGUACACAGCCCAUGCAAAAUUUGAUGUGACGGAGAAUCUUAAAAACUUUUUAGAUUUCGGUGAGAACUAAACAAGGCCUCAAUCAGUGAUGCAGAAUGCUCAUACUAACGGGAUGUGUUUGUGUGAUCGCUAGAGAGUGGAACUAGGUGUCGAAAAAAAGAGUGGAACUGGGAAUAUUUUUGUGUGAUCGCUGGAGAGAGAGCGCAAUGGGCGUGCACAGGCAUAACUGCUACACAAAGAACCUUACCCGAACUUGGGCCUUGUUUACUUCCAAUUUUUUUUUUUGCAAAAUAGAAAUAAUAGCACUUUCGUUUGUAUUUGACAAAUAUUGUUCAAUCAUGGCUUAACUAAGCUUAAAAAAUUCGUCUCGCAAAUUAUAGGUAAAUUAUGUAAUUAGUUAGUUCUUUUAUCUAUAUUUAGUGCUCUAUAUAUGUACCGUAAGAUUCGAUGUGAUGAAGAAUAUGAAAAAUUUUACAAAAUAUUUUGGUAACUAAACAAGGCCUUGAUAUGUGCCGAAUCCUUUGCCAGGGCUUGAGACGUCGCAAACCCUCCUGAAAGAGAGGGUGCCCUCGGGGACGCAAACACAUAGGGGCCGCCAUAAGGUGUAUAGUCCUGAGCCGAUAUCCCCUUUCGUUCUUGAAAGAAGCAUAAUGCAUGGGACAUGAUAGUGGCUGGCCGACUAGCUCCCUGGUACCGAACUACCGAUACAGCAGUGAUCUCACUUUACUGACAUGAUUGCAACAAGGUCUGAGCUGGUCACUGUAUCCUUCUAAAUCUGCAGGAGUGUUAAGCAUUCAACCCACAGUUGACAGUAGGCACCAAUCAUGGAUACAAUCAGUGGUGAAGCUAGAGCAAAUUAGAGAGGGUUACACUUAGCUUGUGGGUGCAUAUACAUGCGUUUUAGGGGAUGCAUAUAUGGUAAAAUUUUGAUUAAAUCUACUGUUUUGCAAUUUUUGAGGGGUGCAUUUACACCCCCUGCUUACAACACAGCUUCGCCCCUGGAUACAAUCAGGGAGUAAAAAUCAAUGUACUCUCUGCCCCACCCCCAUCUCGCUGUUGUUUCGUCUCAAAAUUCUGUACCAUCCAUGGAGAGGAGCCCAGGCCUGUGAAUGAACUGUCCAUCCAUGAUCCAUCCAUGAAGAGUAGGCAAGCUAUCCUGCAUUGUAUAUACGUACCAUAUAACCAUCAUCAAUAAAAAGGAAAAAGUUCUAUUGCAUGAGUCUAAAUUCGCCUCCCCCAAUCGGAAACUUGAUUUUUAGACUCCCCUAAUUCAAAUUGUUCGAUUUGCCUCUUUGAGUGAUUUUGAGUGAUGUGUAGCCACAUCAAUCGUCCUAUGUGGCACCAUGUUAGCAAUGAGGGAGCUAAAUCAGAUUUUCAAAAUAGUUAACGGAGGUCAAUUAGACUUUAUAAAAAUUAUAUAAAUAUUUUUUCUUUUAAAAAGGUAUUUUCUAGAAUAAAUAUGUAUUUAAAAAUACUAAAUAUGAUUCAAUAUUAUAAAAUUCAACAAAAUUCGUUUAGACUAAGAAAAACAUGAAACUAGUUUCAUAGUUUUCCAAAAAAUCAUGCUCUACAUUAAGAUUUGACGCGAUGUAGGACAUCUGAUGUGACGCGACAUCAGCAAAAAGCGCUUUCAAAAUCAAUGAGAGAGGUAUUUAGACAGGUUCAAGAGUUGUAGAUAUCUAUGACUUUUUUGGAAGGAGCUAUCUACAAAUUUGUUUUUUUACAUACAAAUUUGGUUUUUUGAAAGAGGCAAAUUAGACUCGCGUUUCAUGGAAAAAGUCCACUUUACCUCCCUAAACUAUCCUUGAAGUUUAGUUUUUCUUCGUAAACUCGAAAACCAAGUAAACCAACUCCCUCAACUUUUAAAACCCCCGAUUAUAAGUGUUUUUCAAAGGUGGUUUUGUCUUUUUAUUUUUUUAUUUAUUUUGAUGGAAUAUUUGAAAAAUUAUAAUAAAUCACAAAAAAAAUUAUAAAAAAAUCUAGUUUUGUUGGACUCCACAUGAGUAGAUAUACAUAGUGAACAUAUGAAAUGGUAUGAUUUAGUAUAAAGUUUUUGUUAUAGCUUUAGAUCUAUGCUUUUCUAUAAUUAUUCUAUAGCUGCAGUUUCCGUGAUCAAUUUUUAUGGUGGUCUAAUUAUCGUAUGCUUUAACUAUAGUAAAAAUUUCAUACUAAUUUAUAUUUUUACACACUUUUAACUAUUUAAAACUAUUUAAUGAGGAAAAAUCAUAAAUGCAAAAUCUAGUUUUAUCGGAUAACUUUUUUUAUAAUGGGAUAGCUAUUAUAUGAUCGAAAUGUAGUAAAUUUUUCAUGCUCAUUGGAUAAUGUGUUAUAGAAUUUUAUAGGUUUUUGCUCAUUAAAUAGUUUUAAAAGACAAAACCUUUGAAAACCACCUAUAAUUAGGUCAUGGAGGCAAAAUGAAUGGUCUCAAAAGUUGAAGGAGGUAGUUUACCCAUUUUUGAAGUUCAGAUAGGAAGAUUUUGAAGAUUAUUCAGGAGGUAAAAUAAAAUGGACUUUUUCCUUCCAUUAAAAUCUUCACCAGUUGUGCGGAAAGCCCACAGGCAAAUGUUCCAAUUGGGCCAUAUCCUUAAGUGGGCCAAGACUGAGAACAGGUUGCUCGACCUUCUGCAGUCUGCACAGCGGGGGACUCGGCCCAUCCACACUACGCCAUCGCCUCGUAAGCGAAACGGACGGCGGAGAUCGGCUGGCCGCAGAUAGCGAGGGGACACGCCGACCCGUGAUUUUUUCCAGAUCAGAUCCGACAGCUCGCCUUCCCGUCUUUCCCUCUCCCCCACACCCACCCGGGCCGGUCGUCGUCGUCGCGGCGUGAGCGAGCGAGCGAGCGAGCGGGGAAAACCCAAAACCCUAGCGCCCACCGCCCCGUCGCCCCGUCGCCGGCGGCCGCCAGAGUAGAGAGAUGGCGGUGGACGAGGUGAAUUCGGUCUACGUCGGCGGCCUUCCCUACGAGGCCAACGAGGAGAUGCUUCGCGACGCCUUCGGGUACUACGGCACCAUCGUCUCCGUCAAGGUCUGCGCCCCCCCCCCCCCCCCCCCCCCUCUACUCUCCGUUUAGUCAGCUCCCGCGUUUGCUCUGGAGAAAGUUUGACGGGCGCUGCUGGUUUGAUUCGAUUCAGUGAGGCUGUGCUGCGGCCGGUGAUUCUUUUUUUUUUUGAAAUAUGGCGGAAAAGCGGGUUGAUUUUAUUACGUGGGUUUUUUUUUUGGUGAAGUUUUUCUUGGGCAAAAGGUUCUUCUCCUUUUUUAGGAUCUUAGUGAGGAUCUCGGGAGUGUUUGUCUUUAAAAAACAACAAACAACAUGAGAACACGAACGAAAGAUGGGAGGUGGUGUCCGCCCAUGGCCAGUUUCUGAUGGCUAAACUAUUUUAAAGCCAAGAUGAAUUGGCAGGUAGAAUUGUUCUGAGUUGAGCUCAGAUUUUUAGCUCAUCUGGUUGCUGUAUUUGCAUGGUAGAUGUUUGGUUUUCUUUUGGAUGCCGAGGGCAUUAUGGUUUAUAUGUCUCGAACAUCUUACUUUUCUUCAACUGAGAGGAGUGUGAAGAUGACGGCAUCAUCAUUUGCAAAUGUGAUAUGUGGAACAUAUAGCAGUCAAUGCUUCCUAGUGCUGUAACCCACUGUUUUGAGUCUGAGAGAUUUGUUUCCUGAUUAAUCUGUGCAUUCUAGGUGAUUAAUGAUCAUUCUGUCAAAGGCAAGUGUUAUGGUUUUGUUACUUUCACUCACCCCAGAGCUGCUGAGCAAGCAAUUGCAGGCAUGGAUGGCAAGGUAUGCAGUGUGCUUUUUUUUUUGUGAACUUGGCACCUUUUCUUUAUCUUGUGUUUAACACGUCUUUUUACAGAAAUUAGGCAAUCGUAUUGUUCGAGUAAAUGAAGUGCGUACAAGAGGUCCCCGAGAUUUUGGUCGAGAUGGUUUCAGACGAGAUCCAAGAAGGUAUGGUAGAGAUCCAUACUGGGACAGAAGGGAUAGGGAACGGAGCUAUGAUCGUGAAAGGGAUCCCUACCAUGACAGGGAUAGUGAUAGAUCCCGUGAGCAUGAUAGAGAAAGAGAUUAUGAGCAUGGUGGCUUUAAUCGAGAAAUUGACUAUCCCAUGGAUCGAGAUCAUGAAGUAGACGAGAGACGUCCUAGAGAACAUGAUCGUGCAGCUGAAAUGCAUAAUAUGGAUUCAGAUAAUGACAAAGAUAGGGAGCAUGGAACAAGAAAAAGGUUCAGGUGACAUGUUGAUUUUGUUUUUCAUAGUGGAGUUAUGUUGAUAUUGCUAACCAUGGUAGCUAUUUUUAAUAUUUGAAUGAAAACGACUUGUGUUUGAUAUAUUGAUAUGUAUAUUUUAGGUAUUUGUGGAGUGCUUAAUUGAUGUUCUUGGGCCAUUUGAAAUUAGUUUUCUAGAGCAUCUCUUAGUCCUUAACUUGGGAGUGGCAUUUCAAGAUCUUGGAACGUACUAGGGAAAUUUGAUUAUAGACAUGUUGUAUUAUACUCCCUCCAUUCCAAAUCGUAAGACAUGUACAUCUAAGUGCAUAGUAAAAGCAAUGUAUCUAGAAAAGCCAAAACAUCUUACAAUUUGGAACGGAGGGAGUAGAUAUAUAAGAAAAGGGCCAUAUUCACCUUAGAGAAGUUUGAACAGCAAUUUUUUGUGAUAUUUAUAUGUUUCCCUGCAUUACUCUCUCUAUCCACUCAAUUAUUUUUAAAGUUAAUAUAGUGAAUACUAGCUGAACAAUUAGAAUGAUGAGCAGGUUUGAUGGUUUGUUUGCCCUAAUGUGUAAAAAUUAUUUUAUGCUGACUAGUGACCUUGCACGCAUAAACUAUACUGGGUACAUUAUUUUUUUUUAUAAGGAACUGGGUACAUUAUUGGAGACCAUGUUUGGUUACCCUUACUGUGAAAUUUACACCAUUGUUUUGUUUUGUGUUAAGUCCAGAUUUUAAUGUACUGACUACUGUCUAUUUAUAAAGAAAGGUUGUACCACUACGGGAAAUAUUUCAUGGAUUCAUGGAUCAACUAUAAUCCUUAGAAAAAAACAAGGCAUUUACUUUCCUAAUGUUCUCUAUGCAGCCGCCCGAAAGGUCGUGAUAGCAGAGAUUUAUCGAGUUCCAGUGAUGAUCUUCAAAAUGAUGUAAGUGCAUCUUCAAAAAAACCUAGGCAUUUACAUUCCUGACUCUUUAUAUCAACUCUUUUUUGUUUUCGUAAAAUUUUCAUUUCUCUCUUUUUUGUAUAUCAGGGAAAGCACCAGUUGGAUAAAACUAUUCAGAUGCGUGAGGACCUUGAAAAUGAGGCAUGCCAUUUCCUUAAAGACCUUGUUCUGUAUUAGUUUGAUCUGGAAACCAUAAAAUCAGCUCACACUAUCUCAGAGUUGGUCUAAAAUCAUGAUGGAUUUAUUUCUUUGCCAGACUCCAUUUAAAUUAACUUGCCUAUAGUGCUUUCGGAAUAUAAAGAUGAAAACAUGUUAAAUGCAAAUGUGAAAGUAAGCAAAGUUCUCCAGGCUUAAUGGAUGUAGAUUUAUGGAUAUUGGUGACCUGCAGAAUUGGAUCAUGAACUCAAUUGCAUUUGCGAGGUACAUAAAAGGAUAAAUGCCUAUUGAAUUUGUAGUCCCAUUUAGGAUUUAUCUUUUGCUUGACUUGUACAGAAAUUUUCAUAUUUAGCUCAGUUUUAUUUUGUACACUGACAUGCUUGGAUACCUCAGAUGACAGUCAUGCAUUGAUCACUGAAUGCACAGGCCUUGUUUACUUUGAAAAGCUUCACAAUUAGUUGUCUAUUGGAUUACAAUAUAUAGUAUUAUCUUUUCAGCUGAAGUUAUAUAGUACACAGGACGCACGAUCCAUGAACCAUGAUAGACUGAUAGUAUACUCAGCUACUUUUUAGAAUUUAGAUAAUAGGCAUGAGUACUUCUGUUCAUGAUUUAACUGUUUCUUGCAUUUUAUAUUAUGAACUUUGCAGGUUAACCAGAUUAAGGAUAAAAUAUCUGGAAAAGAACAGCACAUUGCAGAUUUGCAGAAGAAAGCUCAGGUGCUCUGUCAUGAUUUUCAAAGGAUUCUGCUGUCAUCAUUUGCCCCAUUCAUAUAUGAGAUAGCCACUGUUUGGCCAUCUCUUAGAUCUCAUUUGGGUUGAGUUCUGAUGAUAAGUCAUAAAAAAAAACAUUUUUCGUGUCAAACUGCAGAAAUUAGAGGAUGAACUGGAUGCCGCGCGGAAAGUCUCUUCAGAACGACAAUUAGCUGUUACAGACGUAUGUGCUCUUCACUUGUUGGCUGCUUAUUUAUCCAAGAUGCAAUUGGUAGUCCUGCAAUGGCUUUUCUGAUGAAAACAUUAUGUAUGCAGCUGUACAAACAUUUUCUUCAACUUCAAGACUACAACGAUAGGGUCAAAACGGCUGAACAGAGGCUGCAGGUAUUUUCUCAUCAUUUGUUUCUUUCAUAACUCUUGAGUUCCGUGGUCAACAAUUAUCCUGUUGUUUAGGUUUGCUUGUGUUGGCAAGUUGAGGAAGGUGUGCUGACUCUUUCUGUUUUGAUUCUACUAGUCUCUUGUUGAUGCUGCCAUGGUCGAGCUUGACAUAGCCGAAGAUGCUACUACCAGAGAUGGCUCAAUGUAUGAGAAUGGGGUGGUCUGAACACCCAAAAGGGCUGCCAGCUGUCAUGGGUUGUGAGGCUACUAAUUUGUUAGACUUGUAGUUUGGAUUUGCCAUGUAAUGAGAACUGUACUGUAACUAGAAACAGAAAAUGUUAUGUAAGGGGCCAGAAAAUGAGUGGCUGCACAUUUUUCUAUUUCUUUCCAAGUUGAAUUUAUUAGCCGUCCUGACUAUUGCUAUACGGUGUGAUGUGACCGUGAUAUGUCAGCUGUUCUGUUGAGCAAGGUUGUGUUCAUAUUUGCCUGUGUUGAUGCCUGAGCUUGACACCGUCAUCUGGUAAUAGUUGCCUAAAGUUUGUUGCCGAGCCUGACGAGAGUAGCAGCAAAUUGCAGUCAAAAGAGUACACAACCUUUUGUUUUGCUGGAAGUAAGUUUCGUUUUGCUAAAAAGGCUUAAGGUAAGGUACUGCGACUAAGGAUGAAAACGGGUUUCGUUUUGCUAAAAAGGCUUAAGGUAAGGUACUGUGACUAAGGAUGAAAACGGUCGGAAACGUCGAAAAACUCCUAAAUUAUUUUCUACUUUUACAUUUGAAAUACAAAAACGAAAACGGUAAAGUCGGACACGAAAACGAACACGAACUUACGAAAUAUCAAGAAUUGCAAAAACGAACCAAUUCGAUCGGAUUUAUGUCGAACACGGUCGAUAUACGAAAACUCAAUACGAAAACCGAUAUAUAGUACCAAGUGCAUGACUAAAAGUAUAUAUAGGAUCAAGUUCAAGUGCAUAUAAUAAUUAAAAAGUGCAUGCUUCUUAGUCUUAGGUGUUUAAUACAAUAGGCCACACAUAAAUACAAGUCUAGAAUAAACAAUUAAUAGCUAACAUGAACACAACUAGCCACUAGUAGAAAGAACGCAGAUGCAUGGUGAGUAGUUUGUAAUUGGGCUGUGUGACUCUACAGUUGACUAAAUUCGGUUUAAACCAAAUUUUGAAUUCGAAAUAUUUCAUAUUAAAAGUAGAAAAGUAGAAAACGGUCGAAAAAUGUCAAAACCGUUUUCUACUUUUAUAUUUGAAAUACGAAACAUCUAAAAUACGAAAGCGAAAACGAUAAAGUCGGAUAAAAAAAUACGAAUUCGAUCGGAUCAAAUAUAGAAAGUGGUUCGGUUCGAUUCGAGAUAUUCCGUUUUCAUCGACUAAGCGCUCGCCGCUAGGCCACUUGUAUCCCGGCCAGCCGCCGCAACUCAGCAAGGCCACCGUCACGCGGGGCUCACCGGCCGAGCGAGUUGGGUCACCGGCCUCGGGCCGUCAAAUACGGCCACGUCACGGUCAUCAGCAUCCGCACGAGGACCCCCUUCCGCUCUAGUAUCUCUGACUCUAAGUACUUAUUGUCGUCUAAUAUACAUAGCAUAAAUUUAACUCAAUGUAUAAAAAAUAUGUAAUAUUUAUAUCUCUAAAUAAGUUUAUUAAUUUAAAUAUCUUUCCAAGCUGCUCUGAGCUGUAUCCAACUGCUGAGACCUCAGGGAGAAAGAGAAAGAGAGAGAGGCCUUGUUUAGUUGAGAAGGCGAAAAGUUUUUAGAUAUUGUAGCACUUUCGUUUUUGUUUGUCCAUCAUUAUUCAAUCAUGGAUUAACUAGACUUAAAAAUUCAUCUCACAAAUUACAGAUAAAUUGUAUAAUUAGUUAUUUUUUUAUCUAUAUAUUAUAUUCUAUAUAUGUAUAACAAGAUUUGAUAUAACGAGAAAUUUUAAGAAGUUUUUAGGUUCUAGGGUAAACUAAACAAUGCCAGAGGAGAGGUCGAGAGGAGACUCCAAAGUCUACUAGAAACAGAGCAGAGCAGGCCAUCUCUGACUUGUAGCUGCCGACUGCCAAAUUGUUUGGUUUUUCUACGGGCGCCGUCGCCGUCGACGUCAACGGCCAACGGCGCAGGCCCAUCUUGACCGCUUCUCACUCAGAACCCCCUCCUGACGCAUUGCGCCACUCACUGUUGUGGCGUGGUCUGUGCUGUCUUGACUUAAUUGACCCGCGAGGGAAGGAUAACUAUUAAUUAAGGCCUUGUACUGAUUUUUUAACACCUAUCACAUCAAAUAUUUAGACAUAUACAUCAAGUAUUAAAUACGAACUAUCUACAAAAUUAAAAAUAUAAAAUAAUUUACGAGACUAUCUUUCGAACCUAAUUAGUUCAUGAUUGAAUAUUAAUUGCUAAAUAAAAUAAAAAUAUUAUAAUACCUGCUAAACUUUAGCACCUUCAACCAAACACGCUCUGAUUAACACGGGUGGCUAACGUUGGUUACUCUACCCACUUAUCCUGGACGUGACGGCAAUUGGGAAAGGCGACGAUUUUUAUUUAUUUUUGGUGUGCAAGACAACUGUUCGUCCCGACCGGUGAAGGAAGCAAUGAACGAAUGCACGGCAAGUACGCCCGGUCGUCCAGGACACGAGAGACCUCAUCAGAUCAGCGACAGCGAACUGUUCGGGCCCGGUCAAGCCGCGCACAGCGGAGCCCGUUCAAACUUUCAAACGGUCAAACUAUUUACGCUGCACUCGCCAAUACGAAAGCAGUAGGAAACUGCUAAUAGAUUCUAACGGCCGAAUUUCCCGCGAAUCAAGUGAGCGACGUGCCCGCCACCUAAGGAAAGAGAAUAAUCAACAAACUGCUUAAGAGCCUUAAGCUACAAGAUCAAAAGAAUCCCCUGGCGCUGCUUGCCUAGGCAGCUACACUCAGCUCGGCCUGUUUGGAACAAAGAAAUAAAAAAAAAUACAGAGACCGAAGAAAAUAGAAGAAUAGCAAAAAGAAUGAAAAUGUAAAAACAGAUAAUUUUAUAGAAACAGGUGUUUGAAACAGAUGAACAUUUAACUGCUAUAGGAAUUUUAGAGUUAGCUGGAAACUCAAUGCUUUAAAUUAAAAUUAACAGUAAAUACUUUUCCUUUUUAGAAAUCUGGUAUGUAUAUAUCAAAUAAAGCAUGGAAGAGGGGCCCCCACAAGUACAUUGAAAAAAUAAAUUAUAGGAACUGCAUGUCCUCUGUUUUUCCUACGUUCUUCCUGCCAAACAGGGUAAAAUAAGAGCCCUGCCAAAUGUCCACGGUGGCAAAUAAUAAUGCAGAGGCGUUGAACACUUACGCACUAAUUCACCUUCCUCUCGACGAGCAUUAGCGCGCGCAGGUAUUUAUACCACAUCGCCACUUCCUCGUUCCUCAGACACUAACACCUCUCUCUCCCUUCCUCUUCCUCUUCCUCUUCAUCGUCUUCUUCACGGAGAUCGGCAAGCUACAAGAGUACUCCAGCUACAGUAGAAAGACAAAGAACAGAGUCAAGCACUCAAGCUCGAGCAGGGAGAAGAACUGGAGAAGUGAACGGGAAAGACAAAGAACGGAGGGGGUUUGACAUCAGUCGAGGAUGGAUUUAGUGCGGAUGGGGAGCAUCGCCAGCGGGAGCAUGCGGCGGACGGCGUCGUCGUGGCGGGGGUCCGGGCGGAGCGACGCCUUCGGCCGGUCCGUGCGGGAGGAGGACGACGAGGAGGCGCUGCGAUGGGCGGCCAUCGAGAAGCUGCCCACCUACGACCGCAUGCGCAAGGGCAUCCUCACGGGCGCCGGCGCCGGCGGCGGUAUCGAGGAGGUGGACAUCCAGGGGCUCGGCAUGCAGGAGCGCCAGAACCUCAUCGAGCGCCUCGUGCGCACCGCCGAGGAGGACAACGAGCGCUUCCUGCUCAAGCUCCGCGACCGCAUGGAGCGGUGAGCACUCGCCCACUACUCUUGCUUUGCUUCAGUUGUCCUUGGACUGGAAACAAAAAAAAAUUCAGAUUUCAGAUGGACUUCACUUGGGAAAUGAUCUGCACAAGCAUCAGGAAUCAUUUCAUUGUGCAGCAAAUCAUGGAGAAGCAUCUCGUGCUAUGUAUUCAGUAACUUAUUCAUGACUUCUUCUUUUUUGUUUUUUCAGAGUUGGGAUCGACAAUCCGACGAUAGAAGUGCGGUUUGAGAACCUGAACAUCGACGCCGAGGCCUACGUCGGCAACCGAGGUGUCCCGACGAUGACCAACUUCUUCUCCAACAAAGUCAUGGUAUGCAUCUCAUCUGCAGAAAGGCACCUUGAUGCUUCCUACUUCCUAGCCAUGGAAAAAGAAAAAACUUGUCAAGUUCCUUCAGCUACUAAUUCUUGUGAGAUGUUCUUCUCACAGGAUGCACUAAGCGCUAUGCACAUCGUUUCGAGUGGGAAGAGACCUAUCUCUAUCCUUCACGAUAUCAGUGGAAUCAUAAGACCGGGCAGAAUGUCUUUGCUGCUUGGCCCUCCUGGCUCCGGGAAAACAAGUCUGCUUCUGGCUUUGGCAGGAAAACUUGACUCAGCUCUGAAGGUACCACACCUUGCAAUACUUUCUUGAUUGUCAACCUCUUUUUCUUAAAAGAGAUUGAUUGUCGACUUCUAAAUCCUAGGCCAAGAAAAAGUAUGUAUUUGGGAGAAAGAUAGCUGUAAUUUGUACAAAAAUGAAUGAACUUGCAAUGAAAUUUUCAGGUGUCAGGAAGAGUAACCUACAAUGGUCAUGACAUGGAUGAAUUUGUCCCUCAGAGGACAUCGGCAUACAUCGGGCAGCAUGAUGUUCACGUCGGCGAAAUGACAGUUCGGGAAACACUUGCCUUCUCUGCAAGAUGUCAAGGAGUUGGAACACGUUAUGGUACAUAACAUUGACAUUGAAAAGGAACAAACAAAAUUAUUCACCUUUGGUAAAGAGAACCUGAUGGUGUUUUCAAUUACAGACAUGCUUACUGAACUUUCAAGAAGGGAGAAAGAAGCCAACAUUAAGCCAGAUCCUGAUAUCGAUGUUUACAUGAAGGUAAAGUUCAUUUAAUUCAAAUCAAACCCUGUAUUUACGUUGGAAGUAACAAAGGUUACUCAACGUUAUUGUGUGCCUCUAUGCAAACAGGCUAUCUCCGUGGAAGGACAGGAGAGUGUGGUCACAGAUUACAUCCUCAAGGUCAGUAAAAAUAUACUGCACAAAAAUAGAAAAUAGGAGAAAUGGGUAUGCCCCUAACAGUACCUGUACUUCUUUUGCAGAUUCUGGGUCUGGAGAUCUGUGCAGAUACAAUGGUUGGAGACUCUAUGAUCAGAGGUAUCUCAGGAGGACAAAAGAAGCGUGUUACAACCGGUAUGUGCAAUAUGCAGUUAAAUUAAAACUUGUGCAUCAAGCCCUUCGGCCCUGAUCGAAAAAUCUGACUCAAUGUCUUGUUGAAUUUUCACAGGUGAGAUGCUUGUUGGUCCAGCUAAGGCGCUAUUCAUGGAUGAAAUCUCCACCGGUCUGGACAGCUCCACAACAUAUCAGAUCGUCAACUCUCUAAGGCAGUCGGUCCACAUCCUUGGUGGAACUGCACUUAUUGCAUUGCUUCAGCCUGCGCCUGAAACAUACGAGCUCUUCGAUGACAUUGUCCUCCUCUCUGAGGGCCAAAUUGUAUACCAGGGUCCUCGGGAGAAUGUCCUUGAAUUCUUUGAGGCCAUGGGCUUCAAAUGUCCUGAGAGAAAAGGUGUUGCAGACUUCUUGCAAGAAGUGAGUGAUCCUGAAGAAUCCUAUUUACUGCACGUUCAAACUUGGAGCCCAAUUUGACAUUGCUCUCUGUGAUCACAGGUUACAUCUAGGAAGGAUCAGCACCAGUACUGGUGCAGAAGAGACGAGCGAUACAGAUACAUCUCAGUUAAUGACUUUUCAGAGGCAUUCAAAGCAUUCCACGUUGGGCGUAAGCUGGGAUCAGAGCUCAUGGAGCCCUUCGAUCGCACCAGGAACCAUCCUGCAGCUCUCACAACGUCAAAGUAUGGUAUCAGCAAGAUGGAGCUUCUCAGAGCAUGCUUCUCUAGGGAGUGGCUACUGAUGAAGAGGAACUCAUUUGUUUAUAUCUUCAAAGUAGUCCAGGUAUUCAUCCUGCUUCCAGAAAUCUUCUCAACUUCCAAAUUCAGAUAGUAAAUUCUGAUGAAUGUUCCAUAUUUGCACCAGCUCAUAAUUCUUGGAACCAUUGCAAUGACGGUCUUCCUGCGCACGACAAUGCAUCGACGUAGUGUCGAAGAUGGUGUGAUAUUUCUGGGCGCCAUGUUCCUUGGACUAGUCACACAUUUGUUCAAUGGUUUUGCUGAACUCGCCAUGAGUAUUGCAAAGCUGCCGAUAUUCUAUAAGCAGAGGGACCUCCUCUUCUAUCCAUCAUGGGCAUAUGCACUGCCUACAUGGUUGCUAAAGAUACCAAUAUCAUUCUUGGAAUGCGCUGUGUGGAUUGGCAUGACUUACUAUGUCAUUGGCUUUGAUCCAAACAUCGAAAGGUUCUUUCGCCAUUACCUGCUGCUCGUACUAAUCAGCCAGAUGGCAUCUGGACUUUUCCGGCUUCUUGCUGCACUAGGAAGAGAAAUGGUUGUCGCAGACACAUUUGGGUCAUUCGCGCAGCUUGUUCUUCUGAUUCUUGGUGGCUUCUUGAUAGCAAGAGGUAAGACAAGUCUUCAUUCACCCAUUGCUUUGAUAGUUCCAGGAGCAUGUAAUUGAGUUUUCUUCUUCAGAUAACAUCAAGAAAUAUUGGAUCUGGGGCUAUUGGUCCUCCCCUCUGAUGUAUGCCCAGAAUGCCAUAGCAGUGAAUGAGUUCCUUGGCCAUAGCUGGCAGAAGGUAAUGUAGUGACUUCUGAACCAAUCUAAGAUAUGAUCACUCUAAAGAUCAGAGAGACAGCUGAGUUAACAAACAAUGUCAAUCUCUGUGCAGGUUGUCGAUAGCACACAAAGCAACGACACACUCGGUGUUGAAAUCCUAAAGGCCCGCGGCAUCUUUGUCGAUCCAAACUGGUAUUGGAUUGGUGUUGGUGCAUUGCUUGGGUAUAUCAUGCUCUUCAACGUACUCUUCGUUCUGUUCCUUGACUGGCUUGGCCGUGAGUACCCUCUUUUCUCAAAAGGAUCAGUCCACACACUUGAAAACAUCGCAUUUGGGACUAACAUAAUUCUUGUAAACACAGCACUUGGACAAGGUCAGGCCGUUGUUUCUGAAGAGGAGCUGCGGGAGAAGCAUGUAAACCGUACUGGUGAAAAUGUUGAGUUGCUGCCUCUUGGAACAGCUUCCCAGAAUUCGCCUUCAGAUGGUCAGUCAUAAGCAGAUCUCCAUGCAACAUAAAUCAGAUAAUACAUGUCAUUGUUCCAUCAUUGUAACAAGUCCAUAAAAAAUGCAGGAAGAGGAGAAAUUGCUGGAGCUGAAACCAGGAAGAGAGGAAUGGUACUUCCAUUUAUGCCGUUGUCCAUCACCUUUGACAAUGUCAAAUACUCGGUGGACAUGCCUCAGGUAAGCAUAAAUUAGAAGAUCUGUCUUAUCACAAAAACACAAACUGAUAAUACUAAAUAGUAAUUAAUAAUUGUAUGACUCUUUGAUAGGAAAUGAAAGACAAAGGUAUUACUGAAGACCGUCUACUGCUGCUGAAGGGUGUAAGUGGAGCCUUCAGACCAGGAGUCCUUACAGCACUGAUGGGAGUCAGUGGAGCGGGUAAGACUACCCUGAUGGAUGUGUUGGCGGGAAGGAAAACUGGUGGUUACAUUGAAGGAGAUAUUUCAAUCUCUGGAUACCCAAAGAAACAAGAGACCUUUGCUCGGAUUGCUGGCUACUGUGAGCAAAAUGAUAUCCAUUCUCCACAUGUCACUGUUUAUGAAUCCCUCCUGUACUCCGCAUGGCUCCGGUUGCCCCAUGAAGUGGAUUCAGAAGCAAGAAAGGUAGGUCAAAAUUGUCUUCAUUCUGCUCGCUCUUAAGCAACACAGUAACAUUUAGCAACCGAUAGUGCUUGGCUAAUCAGAUCACUUCAUGGGUGCAGAUGUUUGUGGAAGAAGUCAUGGAACUCGUGGAAUUGACACCACUGAGGGGAGCAUUGGUAGGACUGCCAGGAGUAAAUGGUUUAUCCACAGAACAGAGGAAGAGACUCACCAUUGCUGUUGAGCUCGUGGCCAACCCAUCCAUCAUAUUCAUGGAUGAACCAACUUCAGGACUAGAUGCAAGGGCAGCUGCAAUCGUGAUGAGGACAGUCCGAAAUACGGUGGAUACUGGAAGGACGGUUGCCUGCACAAUCCACCAGCCUAGCAUUGAUAUCUUUGAAGCUUUCGAUGAGGUAAGUGGCAACAACCAUAAAACAAGGUUCUUCCAAUGGUAUUUAUUUAACUCUGGAAGUAACACCCAUAUGUCUUCUUGUACUCUGCAGCUAUUUCUGAUGAAACGGGGAGGGGAAGAAAUAUAUGUUGGACCUUUGGGACGCAACUCAUGCCAUCUGAUUGACUACUUUGAGGUGAGCUUCAGCACUCACCUAUUGAACAAACACAUUCAACUUCCAACUUAUGGCAGCCACAUAACAUUGCUUCGUGCUUCAAAUGCAGGGAAUAGAAGGAGUAAAGAAAAUCAAGGAUGGUUACAACCCUGCAACAUGGAUGUUGGAAGUGACCACCUUAGCUCAAGAAGAUAUCCUUGGAAUCAACUUUGCUGAAGUAUACAGAAACUCUGACCUGUACCGGUAUGUUCAAUCAGAUUAACCUCAUAAUGGUGUUUAGGCUUUAUCUGUGCUGUGUUUCAUGUCACUGAUUGGAAUGCAUCAUUGCAGGAGGAACAAAGCUUUGAUUAGUGAACUAAGCACACCACCACCAGGGUCCAAGGACUUGUACUUCCCAACCCAGUAUUCACAGUCCUUCCUUACACAAUGCAUGGCUUGCCUGUGGAAGCAGCACAUGUCUUACUGGAGAAAUCCAUCAUAUACCGCGACUAGAAUCUUCUUCACAACAGUUAUUGCUCUCAUCUUCGGAACCAUCUUCUUAAACUUAGGAAAGAAAAUGUAAGUACCUUUGCUUACAGCACUGACUGAGACCCGAUAUAUGUUGGCAUAUUGUGACAAAGAAACUUACCUGUACUUUGUCUUUUAUUUCAGUGGCACCAGGCAGGACCUGUUGUAUGCUUUGGGAUCCAUGUAUGCAGCAGUUCUUUUCAUUGGAAUUCAGAAUGGUCAAACUGUGCAGCCAAUUGUGGACGUUGAGCGAACAGUUUUCUACCGAGAAAAGGCAGCUGGCAUGUACUCUGCUCUACCCUAUGCUUUUGCACAGGUAAUUGGUUGUAACUGAACAUUUGGAUAAUAGGAAAUAAUUUGCUCUUUUCUUCCUUCAACCUAGAGCUGAGUUCUAACAAUUUUUACCUUUGAAUAGGUCCUUAUUGAGAUCCCACACAUCUUCCUUCAGACAGUCGUGUAUGGUCUCAUUGUCUACAGCCUGAUUGGCUUUGAAUGGACAGCUGAGAAGUUCUUCUGGUAUAUGUUCUUCAUGUUCUUCACCUUCAUGUACUUCACGUUCUAUGGGAUGAUGGCAGUCGCCAUGACACCAAACAGUGACAUUGCCGCUAUAGUCUCAACUGCAUUCUACGCAAUAUGGAACAUCUUUGCCGGCUUCCUUAUCCCCCGCCCGGUAAGUGUCCAAGAGUAACUCUUGUACUAUGCUACACCUCAAUUUUCUCUGUACUGUUGAUGCUGAAGCAUACAUGGCUGGCUUGCAGAGGAUACCAAUAUGGUGGAGAUGGUACUCGUGGGCUUGCCCAGUGGCUUGGACACUAUAUGGACUUGUUGCCUCACAAUUUGGAGACAUCACAGACGUCAGGCUGGAAGAUGAUGAAAUAGUGAAAGAUUUCGUCAACAGAUUCUUUGGAUUCCAGCAUGACAACUUGGGUUAUGUAGCUACUGCUGUUGUUGGAUUCACUGUUCUCUUUGCUUUCGUCUUUGCCUUCUCCAUCAAAGUCUUCAACUUCCAGAGAAGAUAAGAGAGGGUGCCAUCUAAAAAAAAUUUGUUGUUGCUUCAGCUAACUUUCAGUAUAUAGGCACUGCAGCAAUGUAAAAUGAUGACCCGUGAGAGAGUAUAUAUGUAGGCUUUGUUUCUUUCUAGGAAGUUAACAUCAUUUUUUGUUUUCCGACCAGUUUGGCCUGUACUGAACAGAAAGGGGCCUCUGUGUAAAAUUGUAUGUAGACUGUGCACAAUUGAGUUCAAUACUUCAAUGUAAGAUCUCCCAUUAAAUUUAUACCUUUUGUCCAACUGAGACUUGCCUCAAGAUUUAGUCCAUUGCAGAAUGAGAAUAGCCUGAGUGAAAAAAAAAAAGCUUGUUCGCUUGAGCUUAUCAGCCAUUCAGCAGUGUUUUUCUCUCGCAACAAAUCAGCCAAAAGUACUUUCGGUUCACAGAGAUACUUGAGGAAGUCCAUAAAUAUUAGGAACACAAAUAAACUGAACAUUCAGAAAUUAGAAGCAGCAUCCCUCUCACUGCUGACGGACAGCAACUCUACCACUAAGUGGCUAGGGAUCCUAAAUUGCGCGUAAUCCGAACCCAAUUCAUAUCCCGAAUGAAGAAGAUCAUCAAAUGACUUGUCGUAAUUCCUAUGCAGAACCCAGAAAGGUGCCCCGACCAGCAAAAGAGCCGAGGAAAGGCAGGUGCGAGUAGGAGUAAAUCCCAAAUCAACCUCUUUCCCAUCGGCAGGCUUGGUAAAGGUGAGUAAUGGAUCACAUUUUGCGGCGCAAAACUGCUCAAUGGAAUGAUAAAUCGCGAGACUAUCACCUGCAGCCGUAGCUCCCAUUGCUCGCGCCAGCCGCCGCAGGCCGCAGGCCGCAGCCCAUGCCAUACGCCAAGCACAUGCAGGACAAAGACGGAACCGCAGGCUGGGUACGGAACAAGCCACCGUGGAGGCUCGUUACGCCGACGGCCGGAAUGGUCCGCCACCGAUGCGGGGGUUUGCGCGACUCUGGCGGGCGCGUGGGGUUUGGGUGGGUGAAAUUUCGCUGAACCUGAAACAGAUACCGAUUUAAUGGUAACUGAACUUUUUAUCAGCUAUUCCAAGAAGACUUUGGCGUUUUGUCAUUAACCGAUUUUCUUGUGUUAUAUAUUAAAUAAUUAUGUCCAUUUGCACAUUCAAACAUUUUUUAUAGUGACUUUAUUUGUUAAAAGUAUUAUUUGUUGUUUUUCCUUUUUGUUUUAUUACAAGGAUGUAUUUCUGGUUAGUUAUUCCGUCAUUAUCCUCUUAUAAUAGUGUUAACUUUUGUACAAAAGAAAAAAUAUACAAAUGUGAUUUUGCUCCCUUUUCAAUGUUACUAGCAAAACAUGCCCGUGCGUUGCAACGGGGAAAAAAUAUCGAAUGUUAAUAACAAACAACGAUAGAAAUAAGACAUCUAUUUAUGUGGGAGCCGGGGAAGAACAUCAUUGUUACUAUAGGUAAAUAGAUACUUCAUCUGUCCCAAAAUAAGUGAUACUUUUAACUUUGAGGCAUCUUAUUUGACCGUUCAUCUUAUUCAAAAUUUGAUAUAAAUAUUAUCUAUUUUGUUGUGACCUUUUAUUAUUAGAUAUACUUUAAUAAUAAUUUAUUUAUUUAUCAUUUAUAAAAAAAUAUGAAUAAGACAAAUAAUCAAACAAUUUGUCUAGAAGUCAAAAACAUGAUGUAUUUUAGGACGUAGGGGGUAUAAGAUUGUACUUUACUACGUUUAUUGUCAUUUAAUUAAGUAUCAAUCUAAUUUUUUUUCUCUAGAGGACCAUCAUCAUUCAAUUAGAACUUAGAAGACUACUUAUAUUUUCUCUAAACGUUAGUGAUUUUAUGCCAAGGAGAUUAGAAGCAAUUUUCAAAGAUAUUUUUAUACUUUUGCUUCAAUUUUUUUUGUUUUCUAUAACCUUUCAUGGGCACACCAUAUUUGAGUUAGACAACACGUUAUCUCAUAUGGAUUCCAUGCUACUAAAUAACUUAUCAUUUGUGCUUAUGGAUAAAUAACAUAUAUUAUUCACGAUAGCUUAUCAUUUAAUCUCACUAAUGUGAUAAAGUCAAUAUCUCAGAAUAAAAUUUUUUUUCCACAGUAACCUUUUACCCAAAGAAAAAUCUAGGCAUGGGUGGGACCCACUACCAGACAAUUUCUAGGCAUGGGAGAUGGGGAGAUGUAUCUAGCUCCACUACCGGACAAUUUGCGUCUCCACGCGACCACGCCUUCCAUCUCCACACCGCCCAUCCAAUUCUUAUCUCGGUGCUCCGUAGCUAUGCGGCUCGCGAGGGCACAACCCAUGCGGCAGGCGAGCAUGAGGCUGUGUUCCGGGCGGCGGCAGGCGAGAGCACGUCCUGGGCGCGGCAGGCGAGCGCGAGGCCGUGAACCGGGCGGCGGCAAGCGAGCGCGCAUCUCGGACAGCAGUAGGCAAGCGCGAGGCCGUGUCCCGGUCGGCAGCAGGCGAGGGCUCGUCCCCUAUCUUCGAGACCCAGGAUACCUCUGGGGCAGCGGAUCUUUUUUCUCUUAAGCUACCGCCGAUUCCGAGCCGGAUGGAUUUAGGUGGCGGCAGAAAAAAGUGGGCAGACUGAAAUUCUGCCUCUUUAUAUAUAGGUAUAGAUUUGUGAUUUUACCUAUAAUUUGGAAUAAGAUAUUUAUAUUGUAUUUUGACAAUAAAUGGUUAAGGGUCAAAUAUAUUUGGCACAAUUUGUAAUUAUUUCAAAUCAAAUUUAAUAUUGAAAAAAAAACAGAUAUAUGUGGUCAUGUUAGUAUAGGAAAAAGUCUAUAUCACCCCCUAAACUAUAGGGUGGUGUCUACUUUACCCCCGAACUAUGAAACUGUCUAAUUUAUCCUCUGAACUAUUCUUUUUUCUAUUUGUUUUCGCUGAAUCUUUGAAAAAACAUAGUAAAUCAUAAAAAAAUCAUAAAAUAGAAAAUCUAAUUUUAUUGGACUCCACAUGAGUAGAUCUACACAAUGAAUAUAUAAUAUGGCAUAGUUUAGUACAAAUUUCGUACUCAUUUGAUCAUAUGUUACUUAGUUAUAGAUUUAUUCAGGUUUAUGCUUGUUAAAUAUAAAUAAAUCUAUAACUAAUUUAUACAUGAUCCGAUAAGUAUGAAAUAUUUACUGUAGUUCAAGCAUAGAAUAAUUAGUCCACCAUAAAAAUUUCACCAGAAUUGGACCAUAGAAGCUGCAGCUAUGAAUUAUUCCAAUUAAUUACAGAUAAAAUUUGAUUUUUCUAACUAAUUUAAAGCUACAAAAAAAAAUUAUACUAAAGUAUACCAUAUUAUAUAUUCAUCGCGUAGAUCUACUCAUGAGGAGUCCAACAAAAUUAGAUUUUCUAUUUUAUGAUUUUUCUGUGAUUUAUUAUGAUUUUUUAAAGAUAAUAUGAAAAUAAAUAGGGAAAAAGAAAAGCCAGACUGUAGCAAAACCAUGGUUACUGUAGCAAAAUCGCCGUCAAAAACCGCCCAGGGGUGAUUUAAACGAGUUUGGAUAGUUCAGAGAUUAAAUUAGAUCGUUUCAUAGUUCGGGGGUAAAGUAUAUAUCACUUUAGGGGGAUGAUGUAGACUUUUUCGUGUUAGUAUACACAGACACAAAAGUCACACAACUCGCAUAAAUCUGCAUUGCUACUUUUUGGUCUUCCGAGAAAUAAGAAAUAUCUUUUUUCCUAAAAGAAAAGAAGUAAAUAAGAUUUCUCUAUUUUCAACUGACACAUUUUUUGUUUUUUACCAAGUUUAUUUAUGGCUUUAUGCACGUCGCAAGUAUUCUUUUAUCCAUCUCGCAAAAAAGGUAUUAUUUUAUCCAAAAGUAGGAAUAAAGCUUGUUUUCUUUGUGAAAAAAGUCUACAUAACCCCCUCAACUAUAAAGGAUGGACUACUUCACUCCCUGAUCUAUAAACCAGAUUUUCUACCCCCUAAACUUUCUAAAACUAGUCAAAUAAUCCCCCCAAACAGUUUUGCUACAGUGAUAGUAAUUUUAUCUUUUUAUUUUUAUUUAUUUAUUUUUUAUGAAUCUUUAAAAAAUUAUAGAAAAAUGAAAAAAAUUAAUUUUGUGUUGACUCCACAUGAGUAGAUCUACACAGUAAACAUAUGAUAUGGUAUAUGCUUUAUUACAAAGGUUUCAUUGUAAGUUUAAAUCUAUGCUUUUUUAUAAUUAAUUAGAGUAAUUCAUAUUGUAGCUUCUAUGGUUCAAUUGUCGUGAAAUUUUUAUGAUGUGCUAAUUAUUGUAUGCUAAAACUAUAGCAAAAAUUUCAUACUUAUUGGAUCAUAUAUAACUUAAUUAAAGAUUUAUUUAGAUUUAUGCUUGUUAAAUCUAUGCUUUAUAAUUGGACCAUAGAAACUGCAGCUAUGGAUUAUUCUAAUUAAUUAUAAAAAGCAUAAAUAUAAAGCUACAACAAAAAAAUUUGUAAUAGACACACCAUAUUAUAAACUGUGUAGAUCUACUAAUAUGGAGUCCAACAAAAUUGGAUUUUCUAUUUUAUAAUUUUUUCUAUAAUUUACUAUGAUUUUUUAAAGAUUCAACAAAAAUAAAUAAAAAAAAAGAAAAAAGAAACCACAGUUACUAUAGCAAAACCAUCGCCCGAAACUAUUUAGGGAGUAUUAUUUGACCGGUUUUGAAAAGUUCAGGGAGUACAAAAUCUUGUUUUUUUUUAUAAUUUGGAAGUGAAAGUAGUCCACCCUUAACAAUUUAUGGGGUUAUGUAGAUUUUUUUUUUCUUUGCAAACAAAACUACAGUAAUAUACUCCCGCCCUCGCGUUCCUGCAUGUGCGCAGGGCUGCUUUUUAAUCACAGUUUCACAGUAACAAAAGAAGAAUCAUGCAUGAUUAUACCCCUACCCUUCCAUACGAAGAAUAGAAAUACACACAGGCAAAUACAUAUGAGGCGUCAUCAGCUCUAAACGUGGAUUAGGAGCCUCUCCUGAUGAUGCAUGCAACUACCGGAUAAGCUCCGAUGCAAGGUCCUGAGACGCAUAAAACAAUGGUGUAAUCGUCUGAGGCCAUACCGAAAGAAGCAGAUAAGCCUACGCAAUACGGUGCGCGUAGAUACAAGAUGCCACAACAGUGUGUCUGGAGCUUAAUGGCUGUCUCUAACGUGUCGAUCAAUAAAACUCACGAUAAGAGACAGGCUCAGCACUCGCAAUAAGAGACAGGCUCAGUAGAAAGCACAUGUCAAUAAGAGACAGGCUCAGCACUCGCAACCUACUCAGCAGAAAGCACAUGCCAAUCCCAUCUACAAAUUGUGUCCUUUGCUCUCUUCAGUUUGAAGAAACCGUGGAUCAUCUUUUCAUGGAAUGUAGCUUCGCUAGAAACUGUUGGAGCCUCCUUGGUUUGGUCAUCAUCAGUGAGCCAGAUAUUCUUCGAAGACUUCAAAGCCUCAAAACUCAGCUAAAUGUUUCCUUCUUCAUGGAGGUGAUAAUUCUCUUGUGCCGGAGCAUUUGGAUCUCCAGAAAUGAUGUUAUUUUUAGAGGAAUUUCGGUGAACUGCUUUAGCUGCAUCAAAAUUUUUAGGUAUCACGUCAAACAGCUCCUGUGGAAGGUUAAGAAGAAGUACUUUCCUAGAAUUGAAUCAUGGUUAGAGCAGCUUGUGUAAUUUUUUUGAUUUUUUUCAUUUCUUUCUUUGUGUCCUGAAUGGAUUUGAAAUCCAUCUCCCUCCUCCCCUAGUUUAGUUUUAGUCUUUUUUCCUUGUUUAUUUUUACCUUUGAACUUGUUUCGCCUGUUUUUGCAAUCUCCUAGGUUGUUUUAAUAAAAUUUUCAGUAGGGGCUCCCAUGCCCCUCCUGUUCUUUUUUAAAAAAAACUCACGAUGCUCCUACAAAAGAUCUCGCUAAAGAUGAAGGCAUGUGAUUAUCUGCUUCUUCCGGCAUGAAUAGCCGUGACCGUGAUUACCUUUCUUAGAAAAAAAAAAUCCAAGAAAGCUAGCCUGGUGUUUACCUUUUCCAUUGACAGAAAGGUUAGUGUUUAUUCACUGUAUUUUCACCAUCCGCUUAUUUUUUGCACUGAUUUUCCAACCAGAGUGCUCCAAACUCCAUAUUUGACAAUCAUGAACUGGCUAGCAUUUUCCUAGACUAUAAGAUGGAGUGCCGUAUGGACAAUAUAUCUGCUGCAGUUACACACCAGUGCUCACUGAUGGGUUAGGAGAAGCAACCUUUUAGUGUGAGGCCUUGUUUGGUUCCUCUGAUUUUUUUAACUCCCUGUAACAUCGAAUGUUUAGACACAUGCAUGGAGUACUAUAUAUAUAUAUAUAUAUAUAUAUAUAUAUAUAUAUAUAUAUAUAUAUAUAUAUAUAUAUAUAUAUAUAUAUAUAUAUAUAUAUAUAUAUACCGCAAGUCAAAACUGAGCAGAAAAAAUACUGAGCAGUACUGAACAACGUUCAGUAUCAUCCAUCACUACACCUAGGAUCAUGAAAUACUGAACAAUACUGAAACGUGAAUACUGAAUAAUACUGAAUUCUGUUCAGUAUAACAGAUUGGUGUAGAAUAAUAUUCUACACCUAGGGUGUAGAAUAUUAUUCUACACCUAGGGUGUAGAAUAGCACUUGUAUAUAUAUAUAACUAAAAACAUAGCUAGAACAUAAUUAGUCCAUGAUUAGACACUAAUUAUCAAAUAUCAAAUAAAACAAAAAUACUAUAAUGCCUAUUAAAUUUUAACACCCCCUAAGCAUCUUGUGUGCCUUGAGUCAAAACAUACUAUUGUGAAGGAACGGACUAAGUCUACGUGGAGAGGCCAAAGAGAACCAAUACCAUGAGAAUACUGAGUCUAGUUUCAGCUGACAAAUUUUAGCUUCACAAGAACAGCAAACAGGGGCGGACCCCCCCUACACCUAGUGCAUUAAUGGAGAUAUAAGAGGGUGAGGAAGAAGAAGUGGAGGAAAGAAGAAAAAUAAAGAGAAAUAGUAGAAGAAGAAGAAGAAGAAAUCAGCACCCCUUCAAUCUUGUUCUACAUGCGUCACUGCCAGCAAACAGCACGAGCUGGUGAAGCAACGAACGCCAAGUGAGCUCGUCGUUCGGGUCCAGUAGACCAGGACACAAGACCAGCAAACAACUCGGGCCUGGUCAAGCGGCGCACAGCGGAGCCCAUUCAAUUCAAACGGUCAAACUAUUUACGCUAGGCAAGAGUCGCAAUUUUUGGAAAGCAAUAAAACUAGUACAACGGCCGAAUUUCCCGCGAGUCAAAGUCAACGACGCGCCCGCCACCUGAGAGCAGUUCGCACGCGCUAAUCAUCUUCCCCGACGAGCAUUAGCGCGCGCAGGUAUUUAUACCUCAAUCGCCACCUCCUCGUUCCUCAGACAUUCACACCUCUCUUGUCUCUCCCUUCCUCUUCCUCUUCCUCUUCCUCGUCUUCUUCACGGAGAUCAACACACAAGCCUACAGCUGCUGCAGAAAGACAAGAACAGAGUCAAGCUCAAGCAGGGAGAACUGGAGAAGUGAUUGUCGGGAAAGACAAAGAACGGAGGGCGGGUUUGACAUCAGUCGAGGAUGGAUUUAGUGCGGAUGGGGAGCAUCGCCAGCGGGAGCAUGCGGCGGACGGCGUCGUCGUGGCGGGCGUCAGGGCGGAGCGACGCUUUCGGCCGGUCCGUGCGGGAGGAGGACGACGAGGAGGCGCUGCGAUGGGCGGCCAUCGAGAAGCUGCCCACCUACGACCGCAUGCGCAAGGGCAUCCUCACGGGCGCCGGCGCAGGCUUCGAGGAGGUGGACAUCCAGGGGCUCGGCAUGGAGGAGCGCAAGAACCUCAUUGAGCGCCUUGUACGCACCGCCGAGGAGGACAACGAGCGCUUCCUGCUCAAGCUCCGUGACCGUAUGGAGCGGUGAGCAAAUCCACUUCUUCAUCUCCAAUCCUUGAUCACCUCUGAAAGCAACUCAGAAGCACUUGAGAAAUGAUCUGCAGCAAUUCACAGAGAAGCAUACAGUGUUACUCAUGUGUUGUUGUUGUUCUUUUUCUUUUGGGUUUUGCAGAGUUGGGAUCGAUAAUCCAACAAUAGAAGUGCGGUUUGAGCACCUGAACAUCGAUGCAGAGGCCUACGUCGGCAACCGGGGUAUCCCGACGAUGACCAACUUCUUCUCCAACAAAAUCAUGGUAUGCAUCUCAUCUGCAGCGGCACCUUCAUGCUUCCUAGCCAUGGGGAAAAAAAAGGCUUGUUAAGUUCCUUCAACUACUAACUCUUGUGAGCUGCUCCUAUCACAGGAUGCACUAAGUGCUAUGCACAUCGUUGCCAGCGGGAAGAGACCUAUCUCUAUCCUUCACGACAUCAGUGGAGUCAUACGACCCGGCAGGUAAGGAAUCCAAGAAUUUUAAAAUCCAAGAUCUCAGUUUUUAUGUAGUUGUACUUACUAUUGCCUAUCUGUUCAGAAUGUCUCUGCUGCUUGGUCCCCCUGGAUCCGGGAAAACAAGUCUACUUCUGGCUUUGUCAGGGAAACUUGACUCAACUCUGAAGGUACCACAUCUUAGAAUACUUUCUUGAUUAUGAACUUCGAGAUCCUAGGCACAAAAAAAUAUGUAUUUUGGGAGAAAGGUACCAGCAAAUUGUACUAAAAUGGAUGAACUUGCAAUGGAAAAUUUCAGGUGUCAGGAAGAGUAACUUACAAUGGUCAUGACAUGGAUGAAUUUGUCCCUCAGAGGACAUCAGCAUACAUUGGGCAGCAUGAUAUUCACGUAGGCGAAAUGACGGUCCGGGAAACACUUUCCUUCUCUGCAAGAUGUCAAGGAGUUGGAACACGUUAUGGUAUGUAACACUGACAUUGAAAAGGAACAAAGAUCAUUCACCUUUGGUAAAGUGGAUCUGAUGGUGUUUUCAAUUACACAGACAUGCUUACUGAACUUUCAAGAAGGGAGAAAGAAGCCAACAUUCAGCCAGAUCCUGAUAUCGAUGUUUACAUGAAGGUAUAUUUCAUUUAAUUCAAAUCAAACCCUGUAUUUACAUUGCAAGUAACAAAGGUUACUAAGUUAUUGUGUGAUUCUGUGCAAAUAGGCUAUUUCCGUGGAAGGUCAGGAAAGUGUGGUCACAGAUUACAUCCUCAAGGUGGGUAAAAAUAUACUGAACAAAAAUAGAUAGGAGAAAUGGAUAUGACCCCUAACACUGCCUGUAUUUCUUUUGCAGAUUCUAGGUCUGGAGGUCUGUGCAGAUACAAUGGUUGGAGACUCUAUGAUCAGAGGUAUCUCAGGAGGACAAAAGAAGCGUGUCACAACUGGUAUGUGCAAUCUGCAGUUAAAUUAAGAUUUGUGUAUCAAGCCUUUCGACCCUGAUUGAAAAAUCUGACUUCAUGUCUUGUUGAAUUUUCACAGGCGAGAUGCUUGUUGGUCCAGCUAAGGCGCUAUUCAUGGAUGAAAUCUCCACUGGUCUGGACAGCUCCACAACAUAUCAGAUUGUUAACUCUCUAAGGCAGUCGGUCCACAUCCUUGGUGGAACUGCACUUAUCGCAUUGCUUCAGCCUGCGCCUGAAACAUAUGAGCUCUUCGAUGACAUUGUUCUCCUCUCUGAGGGCCAAAUCGUAUACCAGGGUCCUCGGGAGAAUGUCCUUGAAUUCUUUGAGGCCAUGGGCUUCAAAUGUCCUGAGAGAAAAGGUGUUGCAGACUUCUUGCAAGAAGUGAGUGAUCCUGCAGACUCCUAUUUACUGCACGUUCAGACUUGGAACCCAAUUUAACAUUGCUCUCUGUGAUCACAGGUUACAUCUAGGAAGGAUCAACACCAGUACUGGUGCAGAAGAGACGAGCGAUACAGAUACAUCUCAGUUAAUGACUUUUCAGAAGCGUUCAAAGCAUUCCACGUUGGGCGUAAGCUGGGAACAGAGCUCAAGGAGCCCUUCGAUCGCACCAGGAACCAUCCUGCAGCUCUCACAACGUCGAAGUAUGGUAUCAGCAAGAUGGAGCUUCUCAAAGCAUGCUUCUCUAGAGAGUGGCUACUGAUGAAGAGGAACUCAUUUGUUUAUAUCUUCAAAGUAGUCCAGGUAUUCAUCUUGCUUUCUGAAUUCUUCUCAACUUCCAAAUCAGAUAGUAAAUUCUGAUGAAUGUUCCAUAUUUGCACCAGCUCAUCAUUCUCGGAACCAUUGCGAUGACGGUCUUCCUGCGCACGACAAUGCAUCGACGUGGUGUCGAAGAUGGAGUGAUAUUUCUGGGCGCUAUGUUCCUUGGACUAGUCACACAUUUGUUCAAUGGUUUUGCUGAGCUCGCCAUGAGUAUUGCAAAGCUGCCAAUAUUCUAUAAGCAGAGGGAUCUCCUCUUCUAUCCAUCGUGGGCAUAUGCAUUGCCUACAUGGUUGCUAAAGAUACCAAUAUCAUUUUUGGAAUGCGCUGUGUGGAUUGGCAUGACUUACUAUGUCAUUGGCUUCGAUCCAAACAUCGAAAGGUUCUUUCGCCAUUACCUGCUGCUCGUACUAAUCAGCCAGAUGGCAUCUGGACUUUUCCGGCUUCUUGCUGCAGUAGGCAGAGAAAUGGUCGUCGCAGACACAUUUGGGUCAUUCGCGCAGCUUGUUCUUCUGAUUCUUGGUGGUUUCUUGAUAGCAAGAGGUAAGACAAGUCUUCAUACACCCAUUGCUUUGAUAGUUCUAGGAUCAUGUAAUUGAGUUCUCUUCUGCAGAUAACAUCAAGAAAUAUUGGAUCUGGGGCUAUUGGUCCUCCCCUCUGAUGUAUGCCCAGAAUGCCAUAGCAGUGAAUGAAUUCCUUGGCCAUAGCUGGCAAAAGGUAAUGUAGUGACUUAACCAAUCUAAGCUAUGAUCACUCUAAAGUUCAGAUAGACAGCGGAGUUAACAAAUAAUGUCAAUCUUUUCUUAGGUUGUCGAUAGUACACAUAGCAACGACACGCUCGGAGUUCAAAUCCUAAAGGCCCGCGGCAUCUUUGUCGAUCCAAACUGGUAUUGGAUUGGUGUUGGUGCAUUGCUUGGGUAUAUCAUGCUCUUCAACGUACUCUUCAUUCUGUUCCUUGACUGGCUUGGCCGUGAGUACCUUCUCUGCUCAAACGGAUAGUCCACACACUUUAAAAUAUCUUAUGUUUGGCACUAACAUAAUUCUUGUAAACACAGCACUUGGACAAGGUCAGGCCGUUGUUUCUGAAGAGGAGCUGAGGGAGAAGCAUGUAAACCGUACUGGUGAAAAUGUUGAGUUGCUGGCUCUUGGAACAUCUUCUCAGAAUUCGCCUUCAGAUGGUGAGUCAUAAGCAGAUCUCCAUGCAACAUACAUCAGAUAAUACAUGUCAUUGUUGCAUCAUUGUAACAAGUCCAUAAAAAUGCAGGAAGAGGAGAAAUUGCUGGAGCUGAAACCAGGAAUAGAGGAAUGGCACUUCCAUUUACGCCAUUGUCCAUCACCUUUGACAAUGUCAAAUACUCAGUGGACAUGCCUCAGGUAAGCAUAAAUUAGAAGAUCUGUGUUAUCAAAAAAACACAAACUGAUAAUACUAAAUAGUAAUUAAUAAUUGUAUGACUCUUUGAUAGGAAAUGAAAGACAAAGGUAUUACUGAAGACCGUCUACUGCUGCUGAAGGGUGUAAGUGGAGCCUUCAGACCAGGAGUCCUUACAGCACUGAUGGGAGUCAGUGGAGCGGGUAAGACUACCCUGAUGGAUGUGUUGGCGGGAAGGAAAACUGGUGGUUACAUUGAAGGAGAUAUUUCAAUCUCUGGAUACCCAAAGAAACAAGAAACCUUUGCUCGGAUUGCUGGCUACUGUGAGCAAAAUGAUAUCCAUUCUCCACAUGUCACUGUUUAUGAAUCCCUCCUGUACUCCGCAUGGCUCCGGUUGCCCCAUGAAGUGGAUUCAGAAGCAAGAAAGGUAGGUCAGAAUUGACUUCAUUCUGCUAGCUCUUAAGCAACACAGUAAUAUUUUUCAUAGUAGCCGAUAAUUAUAGUGCUUCACUAAUCGGAUUACUUCAUUGGUGCAGAUGUUUGUGGAACAAGUCAUGGAACUCGUGGAAUUGACACCACUGAGGGGAGCAUUGGUAGGACUGCCAGGAGUAAAUGGUUUAUCCACAGAACAGAGGAAGAGACUCACCAUUGCUGUUGAGCUCGUGGCCAAUCCAUCCAUCAUAUUCAUGGAUGAACCAACUUCAGGACUAGAUGCGAGGGCAGCUGCAAUCGUGAUGAGGGCAGUCCGAAACACGGUGGAUACUGGAAGGACGGUUGUCUGCACAAUCCACCAGCCAAGCAUUGAUAUAUUUGAAGCUUUCGAUGAGGUAAGUGGCAAAAACCAUAAAACAAGGUUCUUCCAAAGUUUUUUUUUAACUCUGCAUGUAACACUCACAUGUCUUCUUGAACUCUGCAGCUAUUUCUAAUGAAACGAGGAGGAGAAGAAAUAUAUGUCGGACCUUUGGGACGCAACUCAUGCCAUCUGAUUGACUACUUUGAGGUGAGCUUCAGAACUCACAUAUUGAGAAACACACAUCCACUUCCAACUUAUGACAUCCAUGUAACCAUGCUUCGUGAUUCAAAUGCAGGGAAUAGAAGGAGUAAAGAAAAUCAAGGAUGGUUACAACCCUGCAACUUGGAUGUUGGAAGUGACCACCUUAUCUCAAGAAGAUAUCCUUGGGAUCAACUUUGCCGAAGUAUACAGAAACUCUGACCUGUACCGGUAUGUUCAAUCAGAUUAACCUCAGAAUGGUGUUUAUGCUUUAUCUGUGCUGUGUUUCAUGUUGCUGAUUGGGGUGCAUCAUUGCAGGAGGAACAAAGCUUUGAUUAGUGAAUUAAGCAUACCACCACCAGGGUCCAGGGACUUGUACUUCCCAACCCAGUAUUCACAAUCCUUCCUUACACAAUGCAUGGCUUGCCUGUGGAAGCAGCACAAGUCUUACUGGAGAAAUCCAUCAUAUACCGCAACUAGAAUCUUCUUCACAACAGUUAUUGCUCUCAUCUUCGGAACCAUCUUCUUAAACUUAGGAAAGAAAAUGUAAGUACCUUUGCUUACAGCACCAGCUGUGACCUGAUAUAUGUUGGCACAUUGUGACAAAGAAACUUACUUGUACUGUCUUUUCUCCAGUGGCACUAGGCAGGACCUGUUAUAUGCUUUGGGAUCCAUGUAUGCAGCAGUUCUUUUCAUUGGAAUUCAGAAUGGUCAAACUGUGCAGCCAAUUGUGGAUGUUGAGCGAACAGUUUUCUACCGAGAAAAGGCAGCUGGAAUGUACUCUGCUCUACCCUAUGCUUUUGCACAGGUAAUUUGGUUGUAACUGAACAUUUGGAUAAUAGGAAAUAAUUGUUCUUUUCUUCCUUAAACCUAGAGCUGAGUUCUACUACCUUUGAACAGGUUCUUAUUGAGAUCCCACACAUCUUCCUUCAGACAGUCGUGUAUGGUCUCAUUGUCUACAGCCUGAUUGGCUUUGAAUGGACAGCUGAGAAGUUCUUAUGGUAUAUGUUCUUCAUGUUCUUCACCUUCAUGUACUUCACGUUCUAUGGGAUGAUGGCAGUCGCCAUGACACCAAACAGUGACAUUGCCGCUAUAGUCUCAACUGCAUUCUACGCAAUAUGGAACAUCUUUGCCGGCUUCCUUAUCCCCCGCCCGGUAAGUGUCCAAGAGUAACCCUUGUACUAUGCUACACCUCAAUUUUCUCUGUACUGUUGAUGCUGAAGCAUACAUGGCUGGCUUGCAGAGGAUACCAAUAUGGUGGAGAUGGUACUCGUGGGCUUGCCCAGUGGCUUGGACACUAUAUGGACUUGUCGCCUCACAAUUUGGAGACAUCACAGACGUCAGGCUGGAAGAUGAUGAGAUAGUGAAAGAUUUCGUCAACAGAUUCUUUGGAUUCUAUCAUGACGACUUGGCUUAUGUAGCUACUGCUGUUGUUGGAUUCACUGUUCUCUUUGCUUUCGUCUUUGCCUUCUCCAUCAAAGUCUUCAACUUCCAGAGAAGAUAAGGGUGGGCGCCAUCUAAAAAAAGAUUUGGUGUUGCUUCAGCUCACUUUCAGUAUAUACUAUAUAGGCACUGCAGCAAUGUAAAAUGGUGAGAGAGUAUAUAUGUAGCCGUUGCUUCUUUCUAGGAAGUUAACGUCAUUUUUUGUUUUCCGACCAGUUUGGCCUGUACUGAACAGAAAGGGGCCUGUGUGUAAAUUGUAUGUAGACUGUGCAGAGCUGAGUUCAAUACUUCAAUGUAAGAUUUUCCGUUAAAUCUAUACCUUUUGUCCAAGUGAGACUUGCCUCCAGAAAUUAAGUCCAUGAACAUGAGGGGGGAAAAAAGAAGGUGGCGCCUAUCAGCCUAUGUAACGAAGAAGGGCAUUUCGGUUCUGACAGAAUGACAGAUACUUAAAGAUGUCCAUAAAUAUAAAUUAGGAACACAGAUAAACUGAACAUUCAGAAGCAGCAUCCCUCUCACUGCUGACGAACCCCAAUUCUGCCACUAAGUGGCCAGGGAUCCGAAAUUUCGCGAAACUCGAACCGAAUUGGUAUCCUGAACAACAUCAUCAAGUAACUUGUCGUAAUUCCUACGCAGAACCCAGAAUGGUGCACCGACCAGCGAAAGAGCCGAGGAACAGGCGGCAGGUGCGGGUCGUGACUCGCAAACCCUUUCUAAAUCCCAAAUCAACCUCUUCACCCCCCCCCCCCCCCCCAUCCAUCGCCCAUCGGCAGGCUUGGUCUGUAUCUAAAUGCUAGUAUAAUGGAUCACAAUUUGCGGCGCAAAACUGCUCAAUGGAAGGAUAAAAUCGCGAGAUUAGCAUCAUCACCUGCAGGCUGCAGCCGUAGCUCCCACUGCUCGCGCCAGCCGCCGCAGCCGCAGCCCAUGCCAUUUGCCAUAUGCCAAGCAGGACGAGGACGGAACCGCCAGUCCACCACCGCAGGCUGGGUGCGGAACAAGCCGCCGAAGAGGCAUCAACGGUCUAGACUAGAGCCUCGCUACUCCGGCCGCCGGAAUGGCCCGCCACCGCUGCGGAGUUUGCGCGACUCGGGCGCGGUGUGGCCCGGUUCCAGUCUCCUGACGAGAGAUUUCAGAAUAUGGCUUUUUGCUUUGGCACGUGAGUGAUCCGCGAACAAAUUUUGCCCAAGAUGAUGUUGGUGGUCCAGUCCAGGUUCAUACUAGUUAGUGCCCGGUCAAAAUUUUUCAAGACGCUUAGAUUUGAUUUUAGUGUGCUUGUUCUGAAAUCACAUUAGGAAAGAUGUUCUGAAUCAAAUGUACUUAUUUCUCUCGUCAAAAUGAAGAUAGCUCGUGUCGUGCCAAUGUCAUGCUUCGAUCAGAGGCUAUCUUAAACGCUUUCUACGACCAUGCUUACUGUGAUGGUGAAUGGGAUCCUCUGCUCCCGUAAGUAUAAUAAUAACUGUACAGUGUACUGAACUGAAUUGUCUGAAAGUGUCGAAAGAUCAAACAAGCUGAAUAAAUAUUCAGAACUGGUGGUGAUUUCUCGUGACUCGUGAGCCACGUUUCCUCUUCCUUUCCUGUGAUGAAAUCGGUUACGGGUCACAUCUUUAUUCUCUUUUCCCCGUUGCAAUCUUUACUUCAGUUGCUUGAUGUGCCUUGCAUGAUUCAGAUAGUUCUGACGAUCUGAUCGAUGUAUUGGGAGUACUUUUAGGAACAGUGGCCGGUUUUUAGCCAAUGGCGGAGUUAGGAUUUGAAUCUUGGGUAUUCCCUUGCUAGUGUCUGGUGGGCCGCCACUCAACUGUUGUCUCUAAUCUUAUGAUCGAUGUGCACCCUCGCCGGUCACCAUGUAGGCACAACAUAGAGACAGAGGUCGCGCCCGCGCUACACACCCCGCGCCGCUAGGAGCUCAGGACACUGGAAACUACAGUGCAGCCACCACGUCAUGUUUAGUCGGCUAUGGUUAGAGAUUUAGGAAUGAGGAUUAUGGAAUUGCCUCCUACUCAUGCCUCGUUCACUCACACUAAAAGAAUACUUUAUUAUACAUGUUGUCAUGUGCAUAUUCCGAUUUAUCUUGAAAAAGAGUUUCAAAACAAGAUAUGAUUUGUACUAAUAUUUGGUGGCAUGAGUUAAUAUGUAUAUGGUCUGGAGAUAAAUAAAUUAGGUUCUCAUUUAUAGAAACAACAAAAUAGAAUAAUUUCAGCAAUCGAGCUAAUAUAGAACCUAUGUGGAAAAAGAAAUACAAAGAUAGAUUAAAAAGAUUGAAAGAGAAAUGUUAUUUGCUAAAUAUAGAAAUGCUAAUAUAUUAGAUAUACAUAUAUAUAAAUACACCUAUAUAUACUUAGUGUAUAAAAAAAUUGGGUAUUCGUGGGAAUACCAGGAAUAUCCUCUGUAUCCGCCCAUGUUUUUAGCUAAUGCUCCGUUUCAUGAGCCGUUCCGGAUUCUAGGCCGGAACCAGAGAAUCAAGUGCCAAACGGUGAAACCUUGUGCAUUCGUGCCUGCAAACUUGAAACAGCCAAAAGGUGGUUUCACAGGUUAUCUUGUCUCUCUUAUACACUAGUAAUUGUUCUUUUUUCAAUUAUAAUCCAUUUUAGUGCAAUAAAUUAAAAUAGGUUAUCUCUAAGUUGUUCUUCGCUCACAAAAAGAAUUUAUUUUUUUAAGUAUAUUUUUAUUUGAGAUUUUUUACGGUGCUCCUCCCGUUAAAAUAUUUUGCAGCAGGUUUUAGUUAAAAUUUUUAAUUAAGGGUAGAUUAGUAUUUUUUUCCUACGGGGCAGAUUCUCAACUCUAUAAGGGCUCUCUCCACGAAGGCACGAACUGUCAAGAUCUGCGUCGCCGCCCGCCCUGCUGCGGAGAGUCCGUCGUGUCGCAUCCUAGGCCGCUGCCUCGCCGCCCGCCCUGCUGCGGAGCUCCUUUUGAUUCUGAGGACAAGUUCAUUUUUUUAAUUAGAAGCAGCUUCUAAAAUGUUAAAAAUACAAUAAUAUCCUUUGAUUUUAAUUACAAACUAGUUCCGGAUCCACAAAUUUUUGGUUCCGGUUCACGACUUAAGUUCCUCUUAUUUGGUUCUUCCUAUUUUCAGACCAUUAGAUCUAACAAGCUCUCGUUAUUUCCAAGCGUAGUAAAAUUUCUCUUUUUAUUUAUAUGAUUUUUUAGAAAAAAAUCCCUUAUGAAUCAAAAUCCAGCCUACUAGCCAAACGGUUGUACAAACUGAUUCUGAUUUAUCAUCCGGAAUGUUUAUAUGGUAAUCUAAUCCAUACAAAACGCACCUCGGAGGAUGCAGUUUCAAGAGGCAAAACCAUCUCAUAAGGCAAGUUUUUUCAUGUUUCCCCUUUUCUCCCUCAGAGGACGUAGAAAAUAAAUUUGUUUUGUUUUUUAACAAGAUGAUGCAAAAUUGUUUUUAAGCAGAAAAAGUGAUGAAGUUAAAAUGAGUGAAGAUUGUUGAUGAAGCAAGAAGACAGCGAGAGGCCGAGAGUGCACCAUAUAACUUCAUAAGCAAAAGCAACAUACCACAGCAGACAACACACCAAAGAACCAAAUAUGCAUCUACUGAAUGAUGAAGUUCUGUGAUUCUGCAUGCCUAAUCUUGCAGAUGCAGAAGCACCUACUGGACAGUAAGUUCAUGAAAGUAUAAGAGAGAGAGAAAGAGAGCAAUAACACAAGAAACCCUUAUAUAUACACAAGGACUGUAACGUACAUAUAGUACCAGUGGCAAUCACAGAUUUACAUUUUACAGUCGCAAGUACAGCGUUUCACUGGACUCACUCCAGAUACUGGGGUAGCUAGAUAGCUAGCUAGCUCACUAUGGUUAACGUAGAGUUAACGCUUCAACCAAUCACAUUUAUUUACAGCAUGUUUUUAUUUUGACGAUAGAUUGAUCGCAGUUCUUCACAACCGAAACAAAUCCACAUUCCACAACAAAUCCAUAUGAUGAUGAAGCGGCGGCGGAAUUGUUGGUUGAACCGACCUUACUCGUCCUUCUUGCCGCAGCAGCAGAAGCACUCCAGGCAGUGCUCGCAGGCCUCGUAGCAGCAGAAGCAGCAGCAAAACAUGAAGGCGCUGCAAGCAAGGAAAAAAAAUCUGUGUUCAGCAUGAUGCAUCCUACAAAUGAAUGUGUAAAUUUGUUUUGAUGCUUGCGGAAAACAUAAGAUUGUGCAGAUUCUGCAGAUGCAGAACAACGCUUAUCGAGUACAUCUAGAUUAUAUUGCUGUGAUCUUACUGACCAGGCAUAGAGGAAGCCCUUCUCCUCAUGGCGCUUCUUGACAUGCUCCAUGGCCGACAGCUUCCUGUCCUCGCUCUGUGAAGGCUCAUCCAUUGUCGCUGCCGCCUCUUCUUCCCCACAGAAAUGAACACUAACUGAAAUUUGAAAAGGAAGGGAAAAAGAUGGCAGGUAGCUAAGGUAAGGGAGGCGUAUAGCUUGUUCUUACACCCGUUCUAGUGUGUGGUAUAUAAGAAGGUGGCUUAGAGCAUGUGGCUUACCGCUACGGCGCUACUACCUAACCUCUUGCUCCUCGUGAGAUUGUUUCAGGCUUUCAGCAUCCACUGACAGUGCACUAUUUUAUUUCAGUUGGAGAUUGAUCGUGCAUCAUUGUUUCAUUUCAUAUUUUCUUUUCUCUCUCCCUCAUUGUAGCGAUAAGCUCGAUCAUAUCGCAAUCAUGGUGCUCCCCACCAAUUUCAACCGAUGGUCACGCAGAUUGCUCGCUAGGAGAUACCUUGGAAGAUGCCCUCAAAAUGUCACUGUGAGAUAGGGAUGCGUGUCUGUGUAGAUAAGUAGGCCUUUGACAGUGCAUUUGGCUCUUGCAAGUGGUCAGGUUGUGUGCAAACUAUAUAUGCAAAGGCUGGAACAAGUUUUCAAUUAUUCCUAAAAGGAAGCUCUUGCAAGUUGCAACAAAUGGAAAUGAAAAGGCAGUGUCCCUUAAGACACCACAUCAUUGGCUUUAGACUUUUGAUGAGAUCGUUUAUUAGGCUUCAAAAGAAGCUGUCCUUUUUGCUUAUUAAUUAAAGGGGGGCAAGGAAGGGACUCGGCACCAAAUUGACAUAGCUAGCUAGCUAUCAACAGCGAAAACAGGUGAAGGACUGUGAUUGGGGUUCAAUGUGCGGAAAUGAUCUGCAACAUCAGCUAAUUUGCGUGAUCGAUUUAUGAAUUUGCGUGAUCUGAAUUCCGAACUGUCACGAUGUUGACUUGUUGUAUGGUUAGUUACUUUGUGGUGGCAAUUUUAUUGUACCAAAGACAGUCAAAUCACAGGACAACAACUAGUAUGAAUUUUUUUGCUUUUUUUUCAGAAGCGCGUGGAACAUCAUUGUACAGAACUAAAAUAGUACAACUUUGGCAUUUCUAGUGACAAAUAAAUAAAAUAAAUGACAUAUAGAGAGGUUGAUAGGUAUCAUAUGUCUGCACCAUGCUGCAGGAUUUUGCACCACUUGUAGUUCUUAGGGUACUAGGUAGGCUCCUGAUUAAAUCAUUCAUCAAGGAUCAAGCUCAAUCGAAGGUUAAGAUAUAUCGUGGUGACAUGCCACCAAAUGAGUGAUAGCUCCUUGAAAUAUACCAUCAAAUUGUAAAACCUCUUGUCACUCUUGUCUCUCCUUUAUUAAAAUUACUGUAGGGAAAAAUAUAUACCAUCAAAGCAAAAUGAACCAAUAAUCACUUCUUUAUACUCUAAAUUUCAUUUUUGUACGCAGUUGGAGACACGCAGUAUUGUUUUCAGAUGUUACUUUCAGUGAUUCAUCGUCUGUGCCCCAGUCUCCACUGACUACCUGUAAUGUAAGCAUCAAUAAUAUCGAGCACCAGCAAAUAUGAAAUGAUGUGGCCUAAUAUUAGGGGUGUGAAGUGUCCUUGUAGCAACAGAGCCAAAUAUAUCGCACGAAUCAGAUGGCUGCCGUGUGUGGUUGCAUAACAUGACUUACUUUUCAGGCAUUAGACGGUAAGGGUUCAGAGGAUAUCUAUCGCAUCAGCAUAUCCCACUUCUGGUCUUAUGGAGAAUGAAUGUUGCUCCCGGGUUCGUCUGUUUAUAUUACUUUUUGUCUGAGUUGAACUAGCACUACUAAUCCCUCCAAAAGUAUUUCAUAGCAAAUUGUCUAGCGUCCACAACAUGAUUUCACCGUGUUUCAAACACAAGAUUACUCUUUCAAAAACAACACAAGAUUUGUGUAGGAAUUUCCACAAAGAAUUCAAAUCCAACUGUUAAUGAGGUUUUUUUGAACUGAAACAGCUGGUCCCAACUCAGUUAGUCGUGUGUGGGUGACUGGGUGUGGUCGUAUGUCCAGACCAUCCUAUUUCAAGUCCUCUUCGAAACAAAUUUGGAUGUCUAAUUCUUCUAGGCCUCGUUUGGGUCCUUCGAAUUAAAUUUAUUUUAAUAAUCAUAAUUUAGACACAUAUUAGUUAAGCUAAUAUGGUUGUGUAUUAACUCCAUUUGUAUGUUAUUGUUGACUAUACGAGAGAGAUACUUAUGUGUUGUAUUUGAAUCGUAGGAGAGCGAGUUGAAGAGCGUGUUAUAGGUUUUUUAGAAAAGGAUAGAAACAUAGAAUGGUGAUCUAUAAAAUCAAAUUUCAUCUCUCACCCUGUGAAUAUGAGAUAGGCUUAUAUGUGAACUUUGGAAAAUGGUGGAAUUUCAAAUUCUAAGGCAAAUAAUAACCUAAUUUAUUAAGUACAUUUUAAUCUAUAACUCUUAUAAAGCUAAACCCCACUAGAUGAAUUCUCUCUUCAUGCAAAUUGUCCACAUCAUUCCCCACUAAAUAUUCUAUCUCUUCAUACAAGGUGUCCACAUCAUUCCUCACUAAGUCCAUGUCAUCUCAUAUUAAUUACAAAAAAUAAUCAUGUCAUCUAUAUCAUGUGAAAUACUUUAAAUCUUUAAUCUAUUACAUACAUAAUAGACAGAAUAUCAUAUAGUAAUGCUAUGUAUAUAAUUAUUUAUUUUUAAAAAAAUCCCGCAGCAACGCGCGGAGAAUUCACCUAGUUCCUCCAAUAAAAGUCACCCAUUUCCUUCUAGGUUGGUCGAAUUUUAUGUUUACCAUCUGAACUAGCUUCCCAAUCACUUACCUCCAGUCCAAUGACUAUUUUGGUGUCUUCCACCCCCUUUUCUUUGUGGAAUUUUCAGCUUUGAUUUUGAUUUGUUAAGCUGGAGCACUGCCAAGUGCUGGCGCUUCAGAUUUGCACGAAAUCUGCUCCAAGACUGCCACAAGUUGAUGUGGACAUGCAUGUUUAUCUACAAAAAUCAUGAUUUGGUUGUAAAAUAGAUUACAGUAGUAUAUAUGUACCUGACGGCGAUAGAAUCGAUGUUAACAAACCAACAAGCCCCAAAUGUAUUAUGCAUAUGAUUGGGUUUGCUGAUUAAGGACAAUGUGAAAACUUCUAUAUAAGCAGAUGGCAUAAUACAAAGAUUAACCCUAAAUUUUUCGUUAUCUAUGACUCAUUUGUCAUCUCGUAUGUGUCAAUUUGAGAGAAAAGGAUACUGCUGCACCUAUCACCAUGCCUUACGGAUCACGUUAAGCUGUCCAUUCCUGUUCACUAAAGCCACAAGCUUCAACAGAUUACAACAAUGGCGAGCUAGGCACCAGCCCACAUUUGACGAAGCCAGAGUAGAAGGCAGGAAAGGAAACUUGGAACACCUCAGCUUAUGUAUAUAUGAACAAAGACAAAGCAGCAAGAUCCAGGAAUAUGUUUCUCCUAGACACGAUCGCCCCAAACUUGCUUACAGUAUAGACACAGCCUUGAAGCCAAUGAGUAUUAGGAGGUGCCACAGUCAGCUAAUCUGCUAGAACAGUACUAUAUAUAUGUACACCAGGUAAUCUUUGUGAAAUCGAAGAAUUGCACCUAGCAACCAAAGUUAAAUCAACCCAAAGUUUUCUAAAAGAAGAUGGUAUGGGAAACGAAAGCAGCACACAUGCGCUACAGAAAUCUGCUUUCGUUGUUUCACCUUCUUUUCUUCCCGCCUUAACCUAGGUCUUGUAAGCUGCACCAUAACAGGAAGACUUGCUGUCCAGUCUUGUUCCAAACACAAAGCACUAGUUCCCUAGCAAUCUAGUCCGUGACGCUAAAAUUUGCCAGCUGAGACUGGAGCCAAUAUUCCCAUGGCAUGGGUUCUCUUUGGCCUCCACAUAGUCCGAGCCUUCACAAUGGUAUGCCCUGACUCAAGGCACAGAAGAUGCUCACACUGAAAGGUUGUUUCUCCUAACCCAUCAGUGCAGUCAGUGAACACUGUGGUGUGUGACUGCAGCACACUGUCCUUACUGCACUCCCUCUUGUAGUCUAGGACAAUGCUAGCCAGUUCAUGAUUCUCAAAUAUGGAGAUUGGAGCGCUCUGGUGGGAAAAAUGAGUCAAAAAAUCAGAGGAUGGUAAAAAUACAGUAAAUAAACACUAACCUUUCUGUCAACGAAAAAUGUAAACACCAGGCAACACGAUUAUGUAAACUAGUGAAAUGCCAGGUAGCACAAGCAAAAGGAAGAAGUCAAUUAUAACAAAACUCCUAGGGAAGGCGAACAUUCAGUACAGUAUCCUGAAUUCUACAUCCUGCAAACCCAUUAGAUGAAGAAUUUGCAUAAGAAACUACAAACAGAAAUUCCAGUGUCAAGCUUCAGAUCAAGGGCACAAACAGAAAUAAAAGCAUGUGAUUGUGUACCGAAUGACCAAUUAAACAGAUUAUUUAUCUGAAAAUAGCAUUCCAUGACCUCUUGAGGCAAAAAGAAUGUGCCAUAUUAAGGAAAUAGUAUAUUCAGAUAGACAACUGAGCUAUUGAACAGCAUCAGAAGUAUCAAUAACAAUUGUGCCUUUAAAUUCUGAAAUUUUUUUUUGAAAUGUAGCAACAUAACAAAUACAAUGUUUUCUUUGUUCUCCGUCAAGACCAACAAGUUAGCCAUAAUAGAAAAAAGCAAAAAGCCAGAUAGGAGGAUCGAGGCCCUAUUUGCCGUUGAAAGGAGGCGAUGACAAACAGCAAAAGGACCUAUAAAUGUUCUAUUAUAUACAAAUAGGAUGCCUUACAGCAGAGGAAGUCACUAAAUCAUAGUGUUUGAAUAUGAUAAAUGCUCAAACUCUAAGAAAAAUGAUUUGAUCACCUACCAAUAAGUUAACAGCUCAAUGGCAAAGCAAGUGAUCCAAAUAAUUACAACAAUAUAUAAACUACUCCGAACCAAAAAUUAAUAGAGCAGUCCAUGUUAUAUACAUUGCAAAGACCAAUUUGUUAAUCUCAAAGAUCCAGUCAUAAUGAUCCUAACAUAAACGGAACAACAUAAUAUGUGCAUAAAAAGUAAUAUUGUUUUUACCUCAAGAAUCCACCCAAUGUAUCUAACAUUGUUGACAUGCUGGUUUAGAUCAAGAUCGGACCAUCGAGGCUGCAUUAUGUUGCAUACCAACAAGCAUAAACUACAUAAGUAACAAACACUACCAACCAUAACAUAGGACACCAACUUAUGGCAUGUACAAUACUUACAGUCAAACCCCUUCGGACGUAUUUUCUAGCCCUAGCUUCACCAUUCCCUGGCAAUUUUGGAAGUUUGCGGCUGUCUUCAUCAGCAAUAGCGGUGAGCUCAAAAAAAUAUGGUGCUAUUUCAGUCCUCACUUCAUCAGGAAUCCUUGCGAGUUUUCUAGUAUGCUUAUGCAUCAUAACCCAUUUACUGUUCAGCAAAGAGUGAGGAAAAAAUAUCAGCGAAAUGCAAAUGGCCAAACAACAAAAUGCUAACAGGUUAUGGAUCUUUACAGUAAGAACAAAAAUGAAUGCACAAAACAACAGCAAUAUGACAGAUCAUGUAUAAAACCUUGUAGCCCUCAAUAUAGUCUGCCCUGUGCUGCGAUCAUGUAAAUGCCAAUCUCGACGCAUUCCGUUUUUACCAUGACCACUGACCCAUGUAUCUAUACCAACUGUAUCUCCCCUGAAUAAAAAAUAAAUAAAAACAUUUAAUUCAAAAAAUAACAGAGCCUUAAAUUACCCAAAUGCAUCUAGGUUAAUGAAGUACAUGGUGAAACAGAUGAGUCGUAACAUAUAUAUCAACUUUCAAAAUUCUUAGGCUCCAAGCUGACUUUUCAAUUAAAACAGAUAUCAACCACCUACUUGAAAUAUCACUGUCACAAUUAUCAUCAACGACUUUCAGGCCCCCGAUUUCUCACAGGAAUACGUCACACCCAGAUUCCCACCUAACAUCAUUACCACACUUCCAAUCAAACAUUCUGAAGCCACUGAACAGAUCUCUAACUUAGGCGGGCGGGAGGUGCUCCUACCUAUCAGAGCACAGCAAGCUCGCAACAAAGCAAGAAACCACAAUUGACCCCCCCUACCUGGCUAGCUUGAUAAGUUCACAUUAUUAGCAUAACUUCAUUAAAAGAAUGCUAACACUCAAACACAAAAACUAGAGCCAAUUCAGCCUGAGGACUCAAAUAACCAAAAUAUUUUGCAGUCUGUACCAGCAUGGAUACUUCUCCACCAAGACCUGCAUCUGACUGACAACCCAGAACAAGUUCCGUUUGCUCAUCUCUGGUGUCGAACCAAAGCCAUCACCAAGCAGCCCGGCACUCUUGACAUGAUUAAGGGCCGUCUCCUAAACGCAGAAACAUGAUUAAAAAAACAAUAUUAGCAUCCGCAAUGAGCACCUUACAAGUUACAACACAAUCAGACGCGCGCUAUUGCCUCACAUGACUCACCUGCAAAUGAUUCAUCAGCGUCUCUAUGGAUGCCGUCCUGUCGGCCCCAAUCUCAUAGGAUCGGAUGGAGAAGUCCUGCCGGAACACCUGCCCGUUGAAGCCGAACGUGUCGAUGAGCAUGUCGGGCCGCUUGGGCUUCCAGUCCACCAGCGUCCACUGCCGCUCGGCUGCCAGGAAGAUGGUCGUGAUGGCCGCAAGCAGCACGCUCCAGUCCGGCAGCUGGUUGUAGAACGUCCUCGGAGCCGGAGCCGGAGCCGAGGAGCGGGACGCAUCGUCCUCACCGUCAGUCACCGCAGCCUUCCCGCCGCUGUUCACCUUGGGGACGGCGGCGUGCGCGCGCGCCCUUGCUGAGGAGGACCUCACCGCGCCCACGUUUGCGGCGACCCCACCCAUGUCCAGGUUGUCCUUGGACCUGCCCGGUGCGUUCUUGGGCGCCGAAGCCGGCACCGGGAAGAACGCCGACGAGGCGACAGAGGCGGCCAUGAGAGUUUACGGAUGGAUACAGUCGCACAGCUCCGCGCCCGGCCGAUCAAAUCGAAGUACUGCUCGGAGAACUCGAACUGGAUUUCAUCAGAGGAAAAGGACCUUAGAUUUCCGGAAAAAAAAAUAACAAUAUUAAUCGAUUGCAGAGGGGGGAGAAUUCUUUGAACAGAAACUUCCCAGAAUCCUGGAAUAGGAAUAUGGAGAAAAAACCACUGGUCCACCGCUGCUAGCCUGCUACCGAUUUGUCAAAGCAAACUCUUGGAAUAACGCAAGUGGGGGGAAAAACAGCAUGCUGGUAAACCUCAGUCAUACUGAUCGAAGAAGCAAGACUUUCAGCUAGCAGAUAUUUCUUUCCAACAAACCAAUUAAAAUCGUCGCGGGUUUUUUUUUUUUUGGCCCUUGCUAACCAAGAAUCCAGCCCAAAAGGGAACGUUUACAUAUCCGGGAAAAGAUCCGGUAGAGUAGAGGGUUACUGCGCUGGAGAAGGGGCCGCAGAGACGAACCUCACGAUCGAGUUUAGGGCGUUAGGGGGUCGCCGGGGCGCUCCCUCCUCCCAGUGGUGGCGCCGCCGCCAUUGGCCACGGUGAUCGCUGCGUCGGGGUCGCGAGAGCUUGGGGGACGCACGCGGUGGGCCGCUUCGAAGUGGCUGGCCUGCUCUUGGAGGUGGCCGCGGCCUUUAUAAAAGGUUAGAUUCGGCUCGCUGCCAAUUGACGCUUGUACCCUCAAUGGGCAAAGGUGGGACUCCGGAGUCAAGAGUCAAGUCAGAGGGAGAAUCUGGGGAUGGAGAGGGUGAGCUGUGUCGUGUUGCACGCUUUGAGCUGCACUGACAACAAGGCCUUAUUUAGUUCAAAAUAUUUUAUAAAUUUUUUCGGAUUUUUCGUCGCAUCAAAUCUUGCGGCACAUGUAUAAAAUACUAAAUAUAGAUAAAAGAAAUAAUUAAUUACAUAAUUUAUCUGUAAUUUACGAGACGAAUCUUUUAAGUCUAGUUACUCUAUAAUUAAACAAUACUAGUAAAUAUGCCCGUGCGUUGCAACGGGAGAAAAAUAUUAAAUGGUCAUAGAAAAUGAUGACAUAAUAUUACAUAUCUAUUUAUAUUUAUAUUUUUUUAUAAAAUUUAAAGUUCGUAAUUUAUUUUAUUGAUAACCAUGACAUCUAUGGUAUUGAUAGUUAAUAUUUAUAAUAAUAUAUAGCUUGUAGACAUAUUUAUUUAAUAAUAAUAAUAAUAGAAAUUAGUCAAAUCUUAUGUUACUCUAUAUUAUCUCUUAAUAUACCUUAGUAUUAUAUUCAAACACGAUAAGUUUGUUGAUAACUUUUUUUAUUUAGGUUAAGAUUCCUAUGAAAUAUGAUAUAUCAGUUAAAUAUAUGUAGAUUAUGAAUAUAUGAGCUUAUGAAGUGUUCAGAUGACAUAACAACACAUCGUGCAAAGGUAGUGUAAGCAUCCUCACGCAUAAAUUUAGAUAAAAUAGUAAAUUAGUGAGAUAUGUAGGAAUGAUGCUAAAACUUUUACCACAAAUCAAGCAUCACAUUAAAUAGACUACCAUAAAUUUUUUAUAAUAAUUAGAGCAAGAUAACUACAAUUUCAAUUUUAUACUAAAAAGCAUGGGCAAGCAUCUUCAGCAAAAAAAUAAAUAUACUAAAAUUUGGGAUAUUUUUUGUUUAGUGCAUGGAUCUACUAUGAUUUACUACGCAUUUAUCAAUUUUCAGCCGAUCAAUUUUACAGUAAAAAGCAUAGACAAGCAUCUCUAGCAAAGAAAAUAUAAUAAAAUUUGUGAUAUUUUUUGUUUACUGUAUGGAUCUACAUUAUGUGGAGCUGAACAAAAUUUAUUUUGUAAUUUUUAGAUUUAUCUAUGAAUUACUAUGUAUUUAUCAAUCAAUUUAAAUAAUAAAAGAAAAGUAAACUAAUAGGAUAAACACUUUGCAUCUAAGCCCUUAUAAUUUUUUUAUUCUCAAUGUGCUGUAAUGUAUAAAAGAGAUUUUGUAUUGAGAACCUUAGAAAAACUUUUAUUCUGUUCUUUCUCCAUGUCAACGUUGAAGCCUUCGUACGGAAGCGGGCCGACUCGGGUUUGAGGACAGAAAUUUUUUUUUCGGAUGGAAGCGUGGGCGGACUCGGGUUUGACGGCAGAAAAUUUUUAGGCAAACUGAAAUUUUCACAAUUUAGUAGUAGGGAUUUAUUAAAUACAAACAAAAGUACCACAGUGUAUGUUUUGCAAAAAAAAUUUAGAACCAAACAAGGCCCAAAGGACAUCUCCGCGGUCCAAAUCUUCUCAGGACUGGGCCUUGUUUAGUUCUAAGUUUUUUUAAAGAUAAAUUUUGUUUAUAUUUAAUAAAUAUUUUUUUAAUUAUAGAUUAACUAGCUUUAAAAGACUCGUCUUGUAAGUUAUAGACAAAUUAUAUAAUUAAUAUUAUUUUAAAUUAUAUGUAUACAUGUGUCGGAAAAUCUGUUUUUUUUUUUUUUUUUGCAACAAGGCCUAGCAGCCGCUCGAUGCAAGGAAUGCGAGUCUGUGAGCAUCGGCUCGGGGCCGCAUCCAAUUCCUUGGGACACCUCAAUCCAUGCUACCGUGUUGUCCAAAAAAAAUCCAAUUAUAAUUUCAAAUAAAAGGAAUAAAAAAAUAUUUAUAUUCUUUGACAUCAUAUAAGGGUGUGUUUAGAUCCAAAUUUUUUUUUAGAUUUGGACACUGUAACAUUUUCGUUUGUAUUUAGCAAAAUAUUUCAUAGUGUAUCUAAUAGUAGUAUUUAUUUAUUUUCGCAAAUAAAUAUACUACAAAUUUUACAUCAUAAAUAUUUAUGUUUUUCUACAAAAUUAGUUAAAUUUAUGAAAGUUUAACUUAGGGCAGUUUUAUGAAUUGAUUUAUGUAAAAACAUACUACAUAGUAGCAGUACUACUCCGUAUGCUAGCGGCAAAGAAACCAAGCAUAUCGUAAGAGCAUCUCCAACAGUUAUACAAUUGGACUAUACAUUCUAGAAAUUUAUCAAAAACCUUAAAAAUUGCUCUCCAACAGUUAUGCAUUUGACUUAUGCAUUUUGGCAAACUUGGCAUUUGAUGGACCAAACUUGGUAUUUUUGCAUAAGCACAAUGGCUUGGCAAUUUUGAUAUCCCGAGUUUCCUAGACUCCUUGUCGUGCGUGACCUCCCCACACGUUGCGGUAGUUUCCCGCGAGGACUCCUCCUCCCCGCGCGAACUCUUCUUUCCCCGCGCCGCUGCCUCCUUUCUUUCCCCGCGCGCACCUAGGAGAUACGAUCCAUCGCUGCGCAACUAGGCCGCGAUUCACAGAAAUGGUGGUGACUUGCGACUUCGUGGACUAGCGGCGACGGGCGACAGAAAUUCCCGCGCAGAGAAAAAAUCUCGCGCGAAGCGCGCCAAACAAAAAAAAAGAUCCCUAACAAAAAUAGUUGGGUCCACUAUUUUGGGAAAUGCCAAGUCAAAAAUGCCAAACACUUGGAGAUGGACUUAUUUUUCUUUUGGCAAAACGUUUAGAGACUUGACAAAUUCCAACAAAUGGCAAAUUCUAAUUGCAUAACUGUUGGAGAUGCUCUAAUACACAGUUCUUCCCCUUCCCUUUUUUGAGCAUGUAUAUACACCUGAACGUUUUGCCGAAUUCAUCAUACGUAUGUGAAAAAAUCAAGCUCUAUUGGGUUGUGACGCCUAAACUUUUUUAUUAUAGCAUUAUUAUUUUUUAAAAAACAUGUAUCAAAGAAAUCACAUGUCUAAUACCUAUAAAGUUUUUUAAAGAGCUUUUCUAGUACAGUCUUUUUCGACUCUAAUUCCUGGAGGAUCUCUCUUUAAAAACUAUGCCUUUUUUAGAAGAGAAAUCCUCGGGACCUAAUAUGAAUAGAUUGUCCAAGUUUUAGGAUCGCCACAUACACUCAAGUUUCAAAAUUCAGUGCUUCUCAACGGAGAUUUUAGGCUUUACCUUUUCUUUUUCUACAUUGUCAUGAGAUGGAGGUAAACAUCGAUAAUAAAUGCAUAUAAAUGCACACUCUGAGGAAGUAUAACUAGGUCUGAGCAAAAUACCUGAAUACCUGUUACAUGUGUCCGAAUUAUCCGAUCCUAAAUACAGAUAAUGGUUUUGAUUACUCAAAAUUAGUUUGGGUAAUUUGGACAAUAUCUCCUGGUAUCCAAACUAUCUAAACUAUCCAAAGAUUUGUUUAUGUCUUUGUAUUUAUCAUGUUGUUGUUAGUUGAACACUUGAACUUAUCACUUUAUUAGAAUAUAAUUCUUUGUAAUAUAUUGCUAUCUAUAAUUUUGUAUUGAAAUUCUAUAUAAAUCGCUGCUAAAAUUAUGUUUAAACUACUAUUGAUUCUGUGUGUAGUUUAUUGUUUUAUGUAAAAUAGGAUACUCGAACACGGAUUACGUAGGUAGUGUUUUUUCAGGGAUUUUGUUGAGUAGUAGUUUUUAUUACCUAAAUUUCGAACUACCCGAUUAUCUGAACCGAAAAAGCCAGGCAACCCAAGAACAAGGAUGCAUGAGAAAUGGGAGAAGAGUAGCAUGGAUUCAUGGAAGUCCUCUUUUGUUUCUAGGAAAAUUCAUGGAAGUCUUUAAUCACCACUUAGGCAUGUAGCCCAAAAGGCCGCACAGUGAAGGCCCAUCAUAAGGCCCCCCAAAAAAGGAUAAACCGCCUGGCUGCUUCAGAGAUCGUGCCGCUGUUUUGCGCCCAGCAGGCAGCAGGACGCCCCGGAUAGACAGACCUGCACCUGCUCUCGCCCGUCUCAUCCACUCACAAGCAAAUGGAAACCAAAAAAUAAAAUCAACGAGACCUGCUCGCAUCGCUAACCCUAAACCCCCAAAUCGCCCACCUCCCGAUCCCCAUCGGCGCCGCCGCCGCCGCCGCCGCGGGGCUUACCGGCUGGUGCCGCCGAGCGCUGGGCUCGCCGCGGGCAGCCGCCACCGGCCCACCCCACGGCUUCCCUCGAGGUACGGUGAAAGCCUAUCCUACCAAACAAUUCCGGUUUGCGCACGAUCAAUCGGUGCUCGCAGGUUCUGUUGCGUGUAUGCCUCUGUGUCGCGGUUGGAUGAGUAGAGCGGGGGGAAAUUUUCGUUGGAUGAGCGUUCGGGAUUGGGCUCGGGGAGUUUUUGGGGGAGAUUUCGCCUUGGGUUCCCAUGUCUCGUGAAAAUUCGUCUUCGGCGCGUGUCUAUGUUCCGUGCUAGAGUGAUGUGAGGACACCCCUUUUGCAACCUGGCGCGCGGCGCUCAAGUUAUGCGGUGGUUUUGAGCUCGUGAUGUUGAGCAGGUGCUCUUUGUUGAUGCUUUCGGCUAUUUACUGAAAUAUUCUGGGUCGUUCGUGGACUGGGAGCUUAGAUUCAGCGUUUUUGCUAUGCUGGGGAUGUUCUAGAUGCAAUUUUGUUACUGUGUUAAUCUGUAGAUAGAUCGAUCCAUGUUAUCUUCUAUGCCAUGUUGCCAGAGGAAACUAACAUAGUCACAUUUCUUUACCGCUAGCUAUCAGAAAUUCAGAACAUCCAGUAUCCUUCCUUUAUUCAGUUUAGGUCGAAAGUACUGCAUGAUGCUUACAGUACAUGCUGCGAUCUUAGCACAAUAGCUCUCUAAGUGAUGGAAUAGUUUUACCAUUAAACAGACUGCAUUGCUUGUGUUUGUCUUUUAGUAUGCGAUGCUUCACUGUAUCGCCUUCUGUGGUUAACACUAUAUGCCAUGUUUUGUCAUAGAAGAGUGCUUUAGAUUUCCUAGUUAGGGGCCUUUUGACAAGGAUCUAGUUAAAAGUCUUAAAUAAUUUGACCUAUGCACUUCAGACAGUUGUGAUGCAAAUACUCGGUGUUUACUCUCUCUCUCUCUCGUUUCAUGAAUCUAAUAUGCUUCCACUUAUUUGACUCAUUUUCAGAUAUCUGCAUUUGAAGUUGAGGUAAAUAACACUGCUAUUUGUGACAAGAAUUUUGGGAAGUUACUGGCAUAAUGGAGUUUUCAAAGCAAGGGCAGGCACCCGUGCCAAACAACAUUGGGUCACAACCGUUACCCUCUUCAAAUGUCCAAUCUAAUCAAACAGAGCAUCCAUCUUUGUUUUUUCCAUCAUCAUUGCCUGGUGACUGGAGUUCACAGCAGAUGUUCUCUAUGGGAACGUCAGUACCAGUUAGCUCAUAUUAUAUUGUCCCCAUGAGUCAGCAAUCAGUCCAACUAGGUGCUUCCAGGCCAGAGGUUUCACGUCCUUUGGGGGCACAACCUUUGCUAAGUAGGGUAUCAUUGAGGCCACCCCAGCAGGUGCUGAGUAUUCAAACAUCUUUGCCAGCAAUGGCUGGAACACAACCCUCACCAUCUAUGGCAGGCAGGAAAUCACAACAGACAAUUGCUUCUCCAAAGGUUCAAAUGCUGAAAUCUCCAUCGUUCCAGUCAUCUAAUAAGCGGUCUGCACAGAAGGAGCCACCGUCAAAGGUUCAACAAUUUGAAUCUGUGAGGUCCAAGUUCAGGGAGUCACUUGUUGCUGCGCUGAGUUUGGAUUCAGAUCAGCAGAAUAAGAGUCAGUCUCCUAAUAAUGUGCAUUCUGAUGAAUCUACAGAUAAUUUCAAACCAGCAGCAGGAGAUGUGGUACAGGAUUUAGUGGCAACCACAUCAAAAGAUGUAGCCAAUUCAGGUAUAGCCACAACUGUAGCUCCCAGUAAAUGCGAGGAAAGUGAGAAGUUAAGCAGUGAUUUAGCUCCAGAGAUGAUCACGAGCAUAAAUGAUGACAUGCAGCAACAGUCAAAUCAGGUUUCUUCAGAAGAUGACUUAUUGGGUCAGUGUAUGGUUGCAGAUGAACUUUUGCAAGGUCAUGGGCUUAGUUGGGUUUCUGAUCUUGAUGUUGGGAUCUCUGAACCUAACGCAGAACCUAAUGAUUUAAAAAGGCCGCGAACUUCUGAUGUGGAGUCUGAGUCAAAAAGAAUAAAGUCUGCCAAUGAGUUAGCAAUGGAUACGGAGAAAUUUAAUCAAAGGGCUGAAAGUUUGGCGUUUAGAAUUGAAGAGGAGCUGUUCAAAUUGUUUGGUGGAGUAAAUAAGAAGUACAAGGAAAAGGGCAGAUCUCUUUUGUUUAAUUUGAAAGACAAAAGCAACCCUGAGCUAAGAGAGAGGGUCUUGUCUGGAGAUAUUGCGCCUGAACGCCUUUGUUCAAUGACUGCAGAAGAACUUGCCUCCAAAGAACUCUCAGAGUGGCGGCUGGCUAAAGCUGAGGAGUUCGCACAGAUGGUUGUCCUUCCGAGUAAGGAGGUUGAUCCUAGGCGCUUGGUUAGAAAAACUCACAAAGGAGAGUUCCAAGUUGAAUUCGAAGAACCAGAUGGUUUCUCAGUGGAGGUUGAACUUGGGAGUAAUCUUACUAAUAUUCCUUCAAAAGCUGUUGAAGAUCAGACCAAGUCUAAUGGAACAGAUCGUAAAGAAGAUGUUCAAGAAAAAGACAAAGCAUCUGAUAGCACUUCACAAGAUGAGGAUGGCAGAACAUGCAACAAUGAUAUGCCAGGUGAUGUAGAAUAUAUUGAUAAUGAGAAAGCUGAUCUCAUGCAGGAACUUAUUUUGGAUGACAUGAAGGACACCGUAAAUCUCCCACCUAUUCCUUCGUUAGAUGAAUUCAUGCAGGGCCUAGAUUCUGAGCCACCUUUUGUUGAUCUCUCAGUUGAGACUCCUCAAGAAGAUGUCAAUGACUCUGAGGAACCUGACACCACCAUGGAGCCUGAGGAUCUUCCAGAGACAGAAGAUAAUGCAUCUGCACCAGAGAAAACUGAAUCUGAAUCUGAUAAGUCAUCUGCACAGGUUAACAGUGAGCCCAAGUUAGAGUCACCAGUACAUACAGCAGUUCCAAAUUCGGAUCUUACUGAACCACGUGAUGGAGAGCUGAACAAAUCCUCCCCCUCCCCUGGCAAAGGUGAAGCCAAGCAAACAACUACUGAUAAUGUCUCUAAUCCUGAUUCUGUUCACAGUCAGGCUGCCAUACUCCCUAUGAUACGUGAGAGCAUAUGGGAAGGUGCAAUUCAACUAACAGUGUCUUCACUCUCUAAUGUUGUUGCUAUUUUCAAAAGGUAUGUGUCCAUCUUAGCGUUUUAUUUUUUAUGACUAUUGUUAUUUGUACGUAAUGUUGAUCUAACCCAUUCUCCUUUGCAUUUCAUAUUUUCUGCACUUUCAAAUCAAAUUGAUGUUCUGCUAUUCGUCUUGACAUUCCUGUGGCCAUAUUAAGGCCAUUAUUAGGUCAUUAUUAAGUUUAGAAUAGAUCUUAUGAGUAACAUCUCGUAUUUAGGAAAAAAGAACUUGUACACAAAUGCUCAUGUCAUGGUCCUUCUGUUUAAAGUUAUGCAAAUGCACCACUUUAUAAAUGGAAGUUAAGCUACAUUUUUGUAGUGCAACCAACCGAAAUGGAGUUUUACAUUUCAGCAGCUAAGGGUCACUCAUAAUGUCAAUAACUCUUUAACAUGUUAUUUGCUUUGACUUGCUGCAUUCUUUUGUUUAUGUGCCCCUAGACAUUCUACUUUGGGCUAUUUUUCUACAUAGGCUUGCGUGAACUUGUUAUAUAUGCCGGUCUGUGCUAAUUCUAGUAGAGGGUUAUACUGUUUCCACAUUCUCCCAACCAAUUGAUACACCCAAUAUUGGUAUACUAACUCUUUUGAAGAAAAGUAAGUGCGCAAAUAUUUUAAUUUAAUAAAUUAUUAUCAUUGUGCUCACCCUAGUAGUAGUUUUAUAUGCAAUGGAUAUGUAAACUGGUUUUAAGUUAAAGAUCAAUGCAGGUUGUGUUGUUUUGUUGUGCUAAAUAUUUGUUACUUUGUAUAUGGUUUUUGUACUAUCAGUGUGAAUAUUAAUUGCCUGCAAACUAUUGAGUGCAUGUAUAAAUGGCUGAAUGUAUUUGUUCUAUUUGGACAGCGGCUAACAUGUCUUAAAAUUUGAACUUUUCAGUGGUGAAAAGCCAUCAUUAAAAGAUUGGCGUCGUUUUGUUGAGAUUAAGGGAAGAGUUAAACUUAGUGCUUUUCAAGAUUUUGUCGAGCAGCUUCCCAAAUCUAGAAGCCGUGCUAUAAUGGUAAUUCUUUUUUCCUUACUGUAGUCUGUUUAUGUAUUCCCUUUGUGACAGGUUUAAUAUGCUGAGUCUGGUGAAAAUAUCUUAUCUUUGUGUCUAAUUACCUCGUGGAUAUUGUUGCCAUGCUGCGAAGUAGUAUAUACAAUUUUAUAUAUUCUGAUUUGGAGCCGCAAGCGCUUAUUUGAUAUUUGAGAUUGCACAAUGGUUGAACUUAGCUAAGUGGGAUAAUCAUGUGCUAAAAACAAAACCACAUCAUUGCAUGUCAGGUUUGUGUUAGCACCUAUAUGCAAGUCGCACAAUGUGUACCCUGUUUGAACUUUCGAAUCCUGUAGGAAUUGUAAGCGAUUGCCAGGACCUUAAUACGUGGGCCCUACAUCAUGUUAUGUAAUGUCAUUUGGCUUUGUUAGCCAGAAUAUUCAUGGAGUUCUAGAAGAUGUGAAUAGUUAUUUCAGAUUAUCGUUCAUCCUGGAGUCAGUUUAAGUGUUGUGUUUUACAAUAUGUCUGGGAACUCUGCCUUAGGUUAGCUGUUGGCAUCUAUUUCAUCAAUUUAACUACCUGGUAACUAUUUUGAUAGAUAACUGAGCUGUGUUGGAAGGAGGGUUCAUCGGAGAGUGGCCGCCAACAUAUCUUGCAGGUUACAUUCUACCUUUUGCCACUCACCGCUGUUGGAGCAAU
rnacentral:lncRNA from 1 species